AGGGAUUUAAAUUGCGGUCGCGGUCGCGUUUUCGGUCGCAUUGCGUUUAUCGCGGUUGCAGACAUAACGGAUGCUAUUGCGGUCAUUGCAGGUAUCGCGGUCGUGAAUUUUACAUUACUUAUUGUGUAUUGCGGGUAUAGCAGGUUUCGACAGUAGCGGUUUCGGACGGUGCCGUUACCGCUAUAUAACGGCCGCUAUUUCGGUAACGGACCGCUAUUUAAAUCCCUGGUUGGGAUGGUCGUUUUUUAAGAAGAAAUGGGAAACUUGUGAUUGGCAAGGAUCAAGAGCUUCAAAAAGCCCUAUUUUUUUUUUUUAUGAGAGUUCCACAGAGGGCAUUCGGGCAUCCAUUCUACGAGACAACGACUUGCAAGUAUGGUUUAUUGGAAAGGGAUGCAUACGGUUAUUAAACAUUGGGUAGAGAAUGCCUUGUUUGCCAAUGAAACAAGUAUGAUACCUCUGCUCAUCCUGGGUUACUUCAACCACUCCCAAUUCCUACUCGUGCUUGGUCCAGAGUGAGCAUGGAUUUCAUCGAGGGAUUACCCCCUUCUAAGGGAAAGAAUUCCAUUCUCAUAAUAGUGGAUAGACUCAUUAAAUAUGCCCAUUUUGUAGGACUCUCUUAUCCCUUUACAUUUGUUACAAUAGCCCAAGCCUAUCUUGACCAUGUUUAUGAGCUCCACGGGAUAGCGCUAAAAUUUUAACAGUUUAUUUAGCUUUCUCGUCCAAAAAAUAAUAAAUUAAUUAAAUUUAAAAAAUUAAGAUCAAAAUUUUAAAAAAUAAAUUUAUCUUUACGGAAAACAUAUAUUUUGUAAUUUGGUGAAUGGAAUACGGCAUUCACACCCACUAUUGUCCAUAAUUUUCAGUGGGAACAAAAGCAUGGAAACAAUGAGAACAGACACCCUUUCUUUUUACAUUGAUUAAGACUCCCCUUUUCUUCUCUUUUAUCUUUCUUUAUUUUCUAUGAUUGAAGUGAGAAAAGAAUAGCAGAAAAAAGGCUAUGGAAAGAAACCUAUUGGAUGAAGACAACAAGUGAUUUUGAAAGUAGAAACGCGUAUUACAAAACAGAAAACAUCAUAUCAAUGAGAACAUACACCCAUUAUUUUUCGGAUUGAUUAAGACCUUCCCACAAGAAGUUUUGUCAGGAGGGGGCCUGGCACAAAAGAAGGUUGGGGUUAAACACUGAGACUUAACUCAGUUAAUUAAGAUUACAAUGCAAUCAUCGUUAAUAAUUCCUCCUCUAUUAAACAAAACACUGAGUCACUGAGACGAAGUAAUAAGUAGUGAGCCCAAACACCGCAACUUUUAUGUAGAUAGAUUGAAAAUCACUAAUUUCUAUUUCUCCUUCUUGGAUAGCAAAUGGAAAUUGCUGCAAUGAUUAACACACUUCCACAUAUAUAAUCUACCUUAACUUCUUCGCUACGCUAAACUAUUUCCAAUCUAUAAAUACAAGCACAUCCAUAGUGCUAUUGCCUAUAAGUACAUCCUCCUCAAUACCAAUUAUUCAUCACCUCAUCUACAACAUCUUAUAAUCCUUCUUUUUAAAUACUCGUCUUUAAAAACAAAAAUUGUGAAACAUGCAUAAUCCACUUUUUCUUGUGCUUACUGUAAUAUUCUCCAGCCUGGUGGUUCAGCCAGUAAUGGGAGCAAAGGGUUUCAGUGUGGAGCUUAUUCAUCGUGAUUCGCCAAUAUCUCCUUUCUAUAAUGCUUCUCUCACCUCAUCACAGAUCCUAAGAAAAAAUGCCCUCCAUUCCCUGGACCGUCUCAGACACUUCCAAUCCAUGAUUGAUCAAAGCGCCAUCCAAUCUGCAGUGACUCCAAAUGGGGGUAUUUAUCUGAUGAAACUCUGCUUUGGAACCCCGCCACUUGACUACAUGGCCGUUGCAGACACUGGAAGCGACCUUAUAUGGAUACAAUGUGUUCCAUGUCUUCAACCUCAAUGUUAUCCACAAGGUUCUCCUCCUUUCGAUCCUCAAGCAUCUUCCACCUACAAAAAGAUUCCUUGCGAUUCCGAUAGUUGCCAAGCUCUUCCCCGGUAUCAGUGCUCCAACGACGUUAAUGACUGUCAAUACUCGUAUAGCUAUGGAGACAAGUCAUUUACGAAAGGAAUCCUCAGCACCGAUACCUUGACUUUUGACGACUCCAAUGGUCAAAAAACAGCUUUCCCAACAUCCAUUUUCGGUUGUGGGCACAACAAUCAAGGUAAAUUCAGAAGCCCAAGUGCUGGUCUUGUUGGCCUGGGAGGAGGGCCAUUGUCACUUGUUUCUCAAAUAAGCACUCAAAUUGAUAACAGAUUUUCCUACUGCUUGGUUCCUCGCUCUGCGAGUUCCAGUAGUAAACUGUUGUUCGGCCAAGAAGCAAUAAUUUCUCGUCCUGGGGCUGUUUCCACUCCAUUGGUAACCAAAACCCCUCAAACCUUCUACUACCUUAGUCUUGAAGGUGUUAGCAUUGGAGACAAGACCGCACAGGCAGGUUCGAGCCAAGGGAAUAUCAUAAUCGAUUCUGGAACAACACUCACAUACCUAGAAUCGAGUUUUUAUAGCAGCUUAGAGACUAUAGUGAAAGACGCCAUUGGAGUAGAUCCAGUGAAAGAUCCUUCAGGAACAUUUAGCUUGUGUUAUGGGGCAAAGACUAAUAUCAACGUCCCGGAAAUGGUGUUCCAUUUCAGUGGUGCUGAUCUUCGCUUGCAACCUGAAAACACAUUUCGGAACAAUGAUGGCUUGCUUUGUAUGCUGAUAGUCCCAAGUGACUCCUUAUCUAUAUUUGGAAACUAUGCACAAAUGAAUUUCCAGGUGGAGUAUGAUCUUCGGAAGAGAACUGUCUCCUUUGCUCCCACAGUUUGUACCAAACAAUAAAUUUGUUAGCUUCCAAUUGCAUGCGGCCAUGGACACUACAUAACAAUCCCAGCGUCGCUGCUAGCUUUUUAAAUUCCUCACUAACUUUUAUAGUUUUCUAGCUUAAUUGUAAGAUCCAUGUUAGUCCACCGGUGACAUGAAAACUACUUGCAAGAUGCAUAUUGUGGUUAAUUAGCACUAAAAAUAAUAAUUUAUGGCUGCUCCAAAUUUCAUUGCCAAAUUAUUUCUUCAGAAGAAAAACUAAAGAGGCAUAUAUUACAUUACCAACAUCUGAUUUUUUUUUUUUUGGGGGGGGGGGGUUAAAAUUACAUGUAAUUUAUGCAUUUUAUAAGAAGAUGCUCUCCAGCACUUUUAUUAUCUUGUUAGUCUAAACAAAAAUAAACGGGGAAAUUAGAAAACAAUUCCCUUUGUAACUUUGAUAAACAAACUGAAAAUUAAUAUUUUCAUUCUUUAAGGAAGAAAAUUAAUAUUUUUAUUAAUCUAUCUUUUUAAACACAUUUAAUAAUCCAUUAUGGAAAUUAGUAAAUAGAAUCUUUCCUAAAAAAAAGUGUGACAAAGGUAAGUAAUAGAGAAUACAUUUCAUUAUUGUUUAUUUUAUUUUAAUUUUUGAAGAUUAUAUUAUUCAAAUAAUUUAUUUAUAUUCAAUAUUCAAUUUUAAAUAAUAUACUAAAUAAAUUUAUAAUUUAAAUUUAAUAAUUAAUAUUUUAAGAUUUGAUUUUUAAAUAUUUAAUCUUUUAAUUUAUCGAGCAAAACCUAACGAAAUAAAUAAAAUGUAGUCUCUUGACCCGUUGUGUUCGGGCUAAACUUAACGUAGUUGGACUCUGGCUACUCUUAUCUCAAUUCAAGAAUCAAGCAACCCACCAAGAUUACUUUAUUCGUUUAUUAAUAAAUAACAUAAAUUACAAGUACUUUACCAUUAGACCUGCUGAGUCAAUAUUUCAUAUUUUAAAAUCAUUUAACUUGAGCUUCGACUUUUUGGAUUUUUAUAGAUUUUAGUUAAAUAAUGUUUAGGUGGAGGAUUUGUAGAAAGUAGGUUUUAUUUGGUAAUUGGUUGAUAGUUGAUUGUGGUAACUGGUUUGAUCAAUUGAUUUUAUUAGCUAUUUAUUUAAAAGUAUUUGGUAAAACUUAGCGGAUAGCUCAAAGUUAAUAUGUGUAGAAUGACAAAUAAUGACAUGAUUCAUUUUAUUAUCAAGUAUUUAUUUAUUUAUAAUACUUUAGUCUUUAUUUGGUAAAAUUAUUGAAAUAAAACAUUAUUACUAAUGAAUUAAAACAUCCAUUAUGAAAAUUAAUUAGUGAAAAUUUUUGAAAAUUUAAAUAAACAAAUUUCUUAAGUUCUUUAUUUGCAAAUGUUAAUUUUGUAGAAAUUGAUAAAUAUUAAUAGUGCAUCAAUAUAAUUGUAAACUAUAUUCAUAGUGAUAAUUAUGUCAUGUUCUUAGUAUGUAAAUUAGUGAUAAUUACAUCCCACUUUAAAUAAAUUUGUCAAGUAGCAUAUUUCAAUUAAUAUAAAGUUAUAUGAGAAAUCAUUUUACACGAGUAGAUUAAAAAUAAAUUAAUAGUGCAUAAAUAUUCAAGAAAUAGAUACAUGUGGCAAAUGGAGUAAUUUUGAGCAAGUAUAGUCAGUUAUGUCAUUUCACAUAUCUCAUUCUCAAUUAGCUGUAAAAAAAGUUGUCCAUCCAUGCAUUUUUUAUUUUAGAGGUUUUAGCUCAACAAGCUUUUACAAACCUUUAUUCACCAAACACUACAAUUAAAGGGCUUGACUACUAACCGCCUCCGGACAUACCAACGUCCAGAGUAGAAAUCCUGCACAAAAGAUGUGAAAAAUGAUAUCUGCAAGUAUACGGGUCAAGUUGUAAUAUAGUUACAACGGAGUAAGUGAGUACUCUGAGGAUCGUACCCAAGGGAGGCGAGCACUAAAUUAAUUCUAAUUUUAACCUAAAUAGAUCUAAUUAAUACUUUAACCAGAUUAUAGUACGAAAAAUUAAGAGAAGAGUUUUUUUUGUUUAUAAUAAUAAUAAAAGAAAUAAAGGAAAAUUAAAUGAAUUACAAGCAAGAAACAAAUUAAAGAAAUAUAUAUAUUAAAUCUGGGCAUGGGUGAUUAGCUUGCUUAGGUAAUCUUAAUCAAUUGUCGUCUCGAUUUUUCUUAUUCAAUCAACUAGUCAAUACCCCAACAGGAUUUUCCAAUAUGUCCAUUGAAAUACUGAGUCGAUAAGGACUACUUAUCUUUUGACCUCACAGUCCAUGCAGGUUCAGGGUUAAGGUGUUCACAGAUAGGUCAUACCAAUUUUGGGUUAAUUCCCCACCUUGAUGACUUCUUAAAGUUUUCAGGCCUAGGGUUUAGGUUCUUCUUGUCCUGAACAGCUAAUUUGUUAAUAAAUCUCUACAAAACAAUUAAUUAUUCAUACCUCUACUCGUUAAUCCCCCAAAAGAGGAUUAGUUCCUCAUGGAUCUAAUAAAUAAUAUGAACUUGAAUUAAAGAAUGAACAUAAAGAACGAUUUCAAGUAUAGAGUUUAGAAUAAGCCUAACUAUGUUGAAUUAAAGCGCAGAAUCCUCACAGAGUUUAAGAAUAGUUUCAGAAUUUGAUUUCUUCUCAAAAACAAAUAACAAGAAUGGAAAUAAAGUCUAACCCCUAAAAGAAAAGGAAAACUAAAGAGAAAAUUAUACAAAGGAAAAAUGUGUUAUAGACUUAGGAUGGUUGUCGUCCUUAACCCUAGGUUAGCUGACGUUCCCCAUCUUAAAGUUGGAUUGUGUAGACCAAAAUGCCCCUCGCUCAUAUUAAUUUCCCGUACAGACGCGAUGUCACGACAUACCAGGUCCUGUGUCGGACAUCAAGGGCAAUAUGUUUAGUUUCAGGGUAUCUUGAGGGGUAUGUUGUGACAUCGAAGGCAAUCUUGGACUUCUUUAGUUCUGCUCCCUAUGUUGCAACAUCUAAUGCUUCGUGUUCCAACCUAGAAACCAAUAUUGAGUUAUUAUGCCUUGUAAUGGUCUCCUGCACACUCAUAAAGUGUAUUAGCGUACCUUUAAGCCUCUUUCGACCUCUAAGGUAAAUAAAAGACUUGAAUAACACAUUUUAUUACACUUAACUAAACUUUACUAAAAAGUAAUUAAAACAUAACUAAAAUGCUUAUGUUCAAGCUCCUAAAGUACGAAAACUAGUUUAAUUUGCUACACUGAAUUACGGCAGAUCAAACUCCCCCCAUUUAAGUCAUUACUUAUCCUCAAAAAACACAAGCAAAAACUAUAAAAUGAAAAGACGACCCUUGAGCAAGUAUGAUAUAAGUGUUAGCUUUGGAGCACAUGAAUACGUAUUUCAUAUUCAUAUAUAAUCUUGGCAUGAGAUAUAACUGAUUUACCACUUUUGGAACCAAACACGUAAGUUCAGUAUGUUAUAAAGCAUAUAAGCAUUAAAGGUCUCAAAUGUAGGAAUCUAUCAAUAAAUUAUACAAAUAAUUUGAUUAUCUUAGCGUAAUACAAAUAAUUAUAGAAGCAAUUAUUCAGUAUGAUUUUGAAUUGUGAAUAAAUAUUCUCAGAUCACAUAGGACUUUUUAGCUUGUAACGUUCUGAGGCUUAGAACAUGUAUGGAUUUUAAGAAUAGUAAGCAUCAAAUAACUUCAAGCACAAAAACAGUUUGGCAUAUCAUAUUGUCCCCUAUUCUCCCCUAUUCUCCCCAUUGGUAACCCUUUCCUUCACACCGCUUUAUGUCUUCUUCUCUCACCUUCCUUAUUUCUCCACAUAGGAAGCCACAACAUAAUAUAAAAAUCAUGGUUAGCUCACUAGUUUUUGUGCACUAAUGAAUGAGUUUUUCUACUUUUGUGACUUUGUCACAUUUUUUUUUUCUAACACAUCUCACUCAUAAAUGCUAUUUCUUUUCAAGUACUUUUUCCACUCGUUUUGAUUUUCUUUUUGAUUUUUUUUCUUUUGUUGCACAUUUGAGCUAACCUAUAAUCACUAUAUCACAUUGAUCCCUCCUAUUUCACUCUAUUUUUACAAAAUCCACCAUAAUGCAUCUACUUAACCCUCAAUACAUAUGGCCAGGCAUCUACAAUCAUGCAGUUCAGGACCAACGGGAAAAAGAUAAGUAUAAAUUUAUAUUUUGGCUCGAGUUUUGUAUUAAAGUUCCUUAAGAAGUGUUUUCUGGCUCAAAAUAGGUACUAAGGAUAAAUAACAGGGUUUACCUUUUGGUUCUGGAUGUAAUCCAAACAAUGCCUUAGGUCAUCCCUAGGUAUCUCAAUAUUCACAACUCUAAUAAACUAAACAAUCACAAAUACACAAUUUGUCAUUCAUACUAGCAUUCUCGUUUCCUUGUAUGCUCCAUACCAUUUGGUACAUUCAAUUGCUUUAAUGCCUAUUUACAAUGUAAUAUAUAAAACUUAGUAGUCUAAUAAUAAAAAAAUUUAAAAUCACCUAUUCUCAUGUCAAAUUUAUUUGCAAAAACAUGCAACCUAUGUACAUGCUCCUAACCAAUCACUUGAAUUUCUACAAGCUCAAGCACACAAAUGACAAGAAAAAUGAAAAAAAAGCAUAAAAAUUUAAAAUAAAAAAUUUCUAUGCUACCCCCACACUUUAGAUAACACAUUGUCCUCAAUGUGUAACCCCUAAUAAGAUAAGAAAAGAAGUUAUCUGAUUGAUCGUGAUAGUUCUAUAAGUUAUUGGUGGAUACUUCCUCCUUUGGUCGUUUAAAGCUUUAAUUGUUGCGCCUCCUUCAUGCUGGGUUCCUACAUAGAAAAUUAAAACAAAAUAAAAAACAACUAAUAAUCUACUAUUAAUGCUACUCCUACAAAAUUAAAUUAAAAUCAUCGAAAAAUUAAUACAAUCUUUAAAAACAAACUUAAACAAGGUUUAAUCAUCCUCCUCCUCAAAAUCUAUUUCAUCAUCUCCUUCCUCCUCACUUUCAUGUGCCUCUUCUUUCUGCUUUGGUUGCGUUGGCCCAAACAUGUCUGGCAUAUAAUUAGGUAUCCUAAUAUUGUUCUGCUGUGCAAAUUUCUAAAAAAUUGGGCUCAACUCUUGCAUCCAAUGUAUCAUCCAAUCCAGUUUUGGAUGACUGCUCUCUCCAACUUAUUGUUGAGCAGUUGAUUUUACUUUCUUUUGAGACGAAGUCGAAGUUGUUGUUGCCUUUUGUUGGCAUUUUUUCCACUCUUUUAACUAAUUUUCCCGAAGUUCAACGUAUUGUGUAAACAGAGUGUCACUGAUGAUGCUUCAGGAUAACUUCAUUGAUUGUUUUAUGGAUGCCAUUGGAACACCUACUUUUUGGCAUAAUGUCGUCACUAAAUGGGGGAAGAAAACUCCCACUUUUUGGCCACUAACACAUCUCUUCAUAUUUUGGUAAACCCAUUUCCCGAUGCAUAUUUGCUUUUUCUACAUAAUAGCAUAAAGAAAAACUACUCGAAAAGUAUUGAUAUUAGACACAUUUAAAGCAUGAACAACUCGUGUGCAUGAAAAUUGGAUCCACAUUUUAGUUUCAGGAAACAUUAUAUCUUGAUGAAAAGAGGUUGAGAUAUUGGUACCUAGGCAAUAUUUUCAUUCACCCAUUCCUUUAGUCAAAAAGUUUAUAAUGUUAUUCAUAUCUAUGUCCCGAAAGUACUCUAAAUUAGUUUCAUUAAUAAAAUAUUUUUCAUAGUUUGGUGCAUUAUAAAAGUUACAAAUAAUUCGAGGGGUUACUCGCACUUCUUUCCUUCACACAUGUACUAUUUCCCACAUAUGGCCUUCAGCAUUUCUAGACUAUUUGUCCCGUAAAAAUGCAUAAAAUUCUUGAAUAACAAGAACCACAACAAUGUCUUUUGGGAUUGUCCAAAAACAUUCCCACCUAUGAUAUCUAACCAAAGGACAUAUUUCCUUACAAAGAAUCAUGGACGAAUCAAAUCCCCUCUCUUAAAUAAAGGUUUUUCCUUGAAGUUAAACAAAGUAUUUUCUAACAUUUAAGUUUAAAAAACUAAAGGGGUUUAGAACUAUUGAUGAUUCUAGUUCAUUAGUUCUCCAGACCUUUCUAGGAGGCAUGAUGUUUAACCUCACUAACUAAUGAAAUAUCAAGCAAAUAAGUUUAAUAGAACAUUAAAAAUUGAGUUAGGAACUCUUAACCUCAUAUGAGUUGUUAGAUUCCACGUCUCGUUCGGUUAUUUGUUUGUUCCUAAAGAUGUUCCCGUACUUUUCCUGCACCGAGCAAGAUUGAAAGAAGAAAUUUCUCAAACAAAUCCAAUCGAAAAAAGAAAAUUAGAGUUUUAGGGUUUAAAAGAUUUAAGAGGUUUUAAAAUAUUAAAGGAGUUAAUAGAUGUUUAAAUAAGGGGAUAAUAUGUAUUUAGGUUAUAAAAUAGGUGUUUUGAGGGUUAAAUAUCGGGUAAAGAGAGGUUUAAGCCGCCGGAUUGCAUGAACGGGUCAAGUUAAUCCUACAGAAAAUUGUAGCGCUACAGCGAUAUAGGAGUUCCAUGUCAUGACAUCCCUAGCAGUUUACUAUUAUUGCCAUAUCGGAGUUCAAUAUUGCGACACACUCUAGAUUUUUAAAUUCUUGGGUAUACUGGCUUUGGUGUCGCGACGCACGAAGUCUGUGUCAUGACAUCAAAGUGAUUUCCUUCAUUCCGUCAAAUUUUCCUUUGGUGUUACGACAUGGGGCUAUCGUGUUGGGACACUGGUUCUAUUUUCACCCAAAAUUCCAAUUUCUAAAGUGUUACGGUCUUUUAUAAAACAUAAAAUUAAUAAAACUUAAAACCUAAACUAAACAGUUAAUUAAUUAUACAAUAAUUUACAAAAAAAAAAUUAAAAAUCCAUUCAAAUAAUUUAAGUUUUGUUGUUGAAUUCACCCAACAAUAUUAUUGAUUCACAAAUGGACGAUUCUUUAGUUUUAUUAGUAUUAGUCCAUCGUUCGUCGUACCACUCCAUAGUUGCUCGCUUGUCUCUUUCCCUACACUUAUUUUUUUGAACUGCACACAUUAAAGGAAAUACGUCCCUUAACUCGGCAUUAUCAGAAAUAUAUAAUUUAUCAUAAUGCACUUCUGAAAUUUUUCUACUUUCCUUGCUUAAUUGGUGACCACACUUAAAAGUUUCAAUCUUACCAUUGAUUUUCAUGGUUAAUUAAUUUUUCUCUAAAUCAAUAUUGGACCUAAAAGUAGCUAAGAAGGGUCUACCUAGAAAGAUGAGUAUUUCUCAAUCUUCUUCAAAAUCUAGAACCACAUAGUUUGUUGAGAUGAUAAAGCUACGCACUUUGACUAACACAUCUUCUAGUACUUCUUUCGGAUAUGCUGAGGAUCUUUUGGCCAACUGUAGUGUUAUUUGAGUAUUUUUUAGGUCCGCUAACCCGAGUUUUUCAAAAAUAGAUAGAGGCAUUAAAUUAAUAUUAGCUCCUAAGUCACAUAGAGCUCUAUUAAAAUGAGUGUUCCCUAUCUCUAUGGAAAUAACAAAACUUCCCGAGUCUUUCAAUUUUUGGGUAACCUGUCUCAAGAUAAUAGCACUACAGGAAGUGCUUAUACUAAUUUGUUCACCUACAUUAAUUUUCCUAUGCCUAGGCAUAAUUUCCUUUAAAAACUUGGCGUACUUAGGAACAUUCUCAAUUAAUUCGAUCAAGGGCAAGUUAACGUUUAAAGUUUUGAACAAGUUCAGAAAACUUACAAACUCAUCUUCAUCCAUCUUUUAUUUUUCCUCUAGUUUUGAAGGGAAUGGUAUUUUUGCAACGACAGAAUUUUUGGUUGUUUCCACCUCUGGCUUAAUUGUCAGCACAACUACUUCCUCUAGUUUUGGUUCGUUGUCAGCUUCUAGGGGUCUCUCUUAAAGAUUUUUAGUAUUCUCCAUAUUUGCAUCCUGAGUUGGGUUUUCUAGGCUAUUUAAUAUUUUACCUGAUUGCUUUCACGUGCUCCUUACCUUCUCUACGAGGAUUAUUUUCGUUAUUAUUAGGAAUACUUAUGCCAAUUUUCCUUUUUAUAUCCCUCAUUGUGCUCAUCAAUUGGCUUAUUUGAUCUUCAAGUUUAGUCAAUAUUUUCGUUGAGUUGGUGCACUCAGAUUACACUUGUUUUACAUCUGUUCUCAUUGACUGCAUCUUCCCUUUGAUUCUAUUCAGGUAUUGACCACAUACAGUAUGGUCAUUUGGGUUGAUAGUGUUUUUAUUUUGGUUAAAACUACUACCCCCUCAUUGGUUUCCUCUCCAUCUCAAGUUCGGGUGAUCUCUCCAUCUGGGAUUAUAUGUAAUUGAAUAGGGAUUUCUACCGCUAUUUUUGAUAUAGUUUACAUCCUUGGUUGGAUUAUUAAUAUAAUGAAAGAGUGGUUUGUCUCCUCCAUAGCUAUCUGGUGCACCCUUUUCAGCCUUUAUUCGGUUGAUUCUGUCUAGUAAUUGCUAGUAUCUAUCAUCUUCCUGGACAGCCUUCACCGUAGAUGGUCUUUGGCCAUAUGUAUCAUGUAUGAUGCUCAGUUGGCCAGUGACAAGAAUUCAUUGCUAUACUUUCUAUUAGCUCGUACGCAUCUUCGUUCGUUCUAUUCAUCAAGGCUCCUUCUGCUGUUCCAUCUAAUCUAGGUCUCGAAUGCAUAUCCAACCCAUUGUAAAAGGUUUGCAAUCAUAACCACUUAGGUAAUUUGUGAUGUGGGUACUUCCGAAUCAAUAUCUUGAAAUGCUCCCUUGCUUCACAAAGGCUUUCUCCUUCUAACUGUUUGAACAUCAAAAUUCAUUUCAUCUCAUGUCAUGAUCGAUCCUAGUGUCUUCGAAUCUAGUCGAUAAAAGACGUUAUCAAUUAAUGAAAAGGGGAAUAACCUAAGACGAAUAACACCAUUAAUGACCCCAUUGUAUUUGAAGGUAUCACAAAUCUGGAGGAACUGUUUUAAAUGCUGGCUCGGAUCCUUUGUCAUUGUCGCACGAAACUGUAAAUUGUUCUGGAUCAUCUAUAUCAUAGUUGGCUUAAUCUCAAAAUUGUUGGCCAUGAUAGCUGGCCUUGUAAUGCUCCUUUGAACCAUAUCCAGAUUUGGUAACGCAUAAUCUCUCAGAGUCCUCUCGUUACGUGCCAUGUUUAAGUUUAUGGGUAGCUGUGGUGGUAGUAGUGGAUCUUUUCGAAGCUAACAACAAAUUCUCCUGUGGUACGUUGCCUACAGCAGGUGGUGGUGGAUCUUGCAUUUGCUGCUAUUGUUUUUACUGUCAACAAUUUUUGUGGAUUAUUCUCUCUAGAUCUGUGAUUGGCUCCAUAGGUGCUCCCCUACUAUGAGUCAUACGCUAAACCCAAAAAGAGAAUAUUAGUAGAAAGAAAGAAAAGUAAAUUCAUAACUAUAACCUAAAAACUUCUUAAUUAUUCUAUUAAAAUGCAAAAAUUAAAACUAAUAUAGUGACGUUGCCUCCUCGGCAACGAUGCCAACAACUUGACCACCCCUGGACGUACCAACGUCCAGAGUAGAAAUCAUGAACAAAAGAUGUGAAAAACGGUAUUCACAAGUAUAUGGGUCAGGUUGUUAUAUAGUUACAACGAAGUAAAUGAGUACUCCGAGGAUCAUACCUAAGGGAGGCCAGCACUAAAUUGAUUCUAAUUUUAAGCUAAAUAGAUCUAAUUAAUACUUUAAUCAGAUUAUAAGACGAAGAAUUAAAAGAAGAUUUUUUUUUGUUUAUAAUAAUAAAAUAAAUAAAGGAAAAUUAAAUGAAUGAAAAGCAAGAAAUCGAUUAAAGAAAUAUAUAUAUCAAAUCUGGGCAUGGGUGAUUAGCUUGCUUCAGUAAUCUUAAUCAACUGUCGUCUCGGGUUUUCUUAUUCAAUCAACUAGUCAGUACCCUAGCAGAAUCUUCUGAUACGUUUACUGAAAUACUGGGUUGGCAAGGACUACUUAACUUUCGACCUCACAGUCAAAACCGAUUCAAGGUUAAGGUGCUCACAGAUAGGCUAUACCAAUUUUGGGUCAAUUCCCGCUUUGAUGACUUCCUAGGGUUGUCAGGCCUAGGAUUUAGGUUCUUCCUGUCCUAAACAGUUGAUCCAUUAAAAAAUCCUUACAAAAAAGUUACUUAUUCAUACAUUCAUUAGCUAAUCCCUCAUAGGAGGAUUAGUUCCUCAUGGAUCUAAUAAACAAUAUGAACUUGAAUAAAAGAAUAAACAUAAAGACCGAUUUCAAGUAUAUAGUUUAGAAGAAGCCUAAUUGUAUUGAAAUAAAGCGCAUAAUUCUCACAAAGUUUGAAAAUAGUUUCAGAAUCUGAUUUCUUCCUGAAAAUAAAUAACAAGAAUAGAAAUAAAGUCUAACCCAUAAAAGAAAAGAAAAACUAAAAUCUAAAACUAAAGAGGUAAUUAUACAAAGGAAAAAGGUGUUUUUAAAAUGUGUUACCUGAGCCUAUUUAUAGACUUAGGAUGGUCGUUGUUCUUAACCCUAGGUCAUUUGACGUUCCUAAGCUUAAAGUUGGAUUGUGCAGACCAAAACGCCCCUAGCUCGUAUUAAUUUCCUGUUUAGAAGUGGUGUCGCGACACACUAGGUCCUGUGUCACAAUAUCGAGGGCAAUAUGUUUGGCUUCAAGGUAUCUUCAGGGGUAUGUCACGACAUCCUCAGGCUGUGCCGCGACAUCGAAGGUAGUUUUGGACUUCUUCAGUUAUGAUCCCUAUGUUGCGAUAUCUAAUGCUUCGUAUUGCAACCUAGCGACCAGUAUUAAGUUAUUAUGCUUUCUAAUAGUCUCUUGCACACUCACAAAGUGUAUUAGCGCACCUUUAGGCCUCUUUAGGCCCCUAAGGUCAAUAAAAGACUCAAAUAACAAAUUUUAUUACACUUAACUAAACUUUGUUGAAAAGUAAUUAAAACAUAACUAAAAUGCUUAUGUUCAAGCUCUUAAAGUGCGAAAACUAAUUUAAUCUGCUACACUGAAUUACGAUAGGUCAACUACCCAAUCCUCCAUUUGUGCCCAAAUCAGCUAACAAGGCCUAAAACUUUGUUUACUAAACAUCGCCUAAGUAAUUUUAAAGAGAGGUUUGAGAAAUUCAAUUUCCUUUUUUAAAUUUCAUGUUUUUCAAAAUUACUCAUAAUUUUAUUUGAUGUAAUACACAUUAUCUCACUAUAUGAUAAAAACUUCAAAGUUUAUUUUUAUUUAUUUCUAAUAUAUAUUUUAAUUUUUUUGUCAAAAUUAUUUAUAAUUUUUUACAAAUAUAAGGAUAUUAUAUUGAAUAUUUUUAAUAUAAUUAUUCUUAUUUUAAUUAUUUUUUAAUUUAUAAAAUUCUAGUAACUUAAAUUUUCCUAAAUCAAUUAUUUAUCCAAAAAAAAAACCCCCAAUUACAAGUUGUAACAUUUUAAAAGCUAGCAUUUUGAAUUGAUAAAUUCUAAAAUGUUAGUAUUUUUUAAAUCUUAAAAAUUUAAAUUUUUUUUAUUCAAACGCACUCUUAAAGCCCGAACUUGUUAGGGUAUUUGAAAUUUAGAUUUUUUUUUUUAGUAGAUUGAAGUUAUUUAAAGUUGGUUGUAGAUUUAAGUUUGGAUUGUGAGAGUUCAAAGUUAUUGACAUUUUAAAGCUAAAUAAGUUGAAUUGAAUUUAAGUUUAAAUUCAUUGAGUAAAAUUUUUAAAUUUGAGUCAGAAUUUACAAGUGUAGUAUUUAUAAUAAAAUUAUUAUUAUUUUCAAGACAUCUACUCAUCCUUUAUUCAAAUACCAUGAAGAAUGUGAAAAAAACUUACAUCUCAGUUGAUCCAAUUAAUCUCUCCUAGUGGGAGUAAGUAUUUGCCGUGGUUGGUAGGGUAAUAUUUUUAUAAUAUAAAAUAAUUAAAAUACUGAUUUUUAAAAUUAAUAAAUUACUGAACUCAGAUCUUAAAUUUAUUGAAUAAUAUUUUUCAAAAUAAUUGCCAAAAUCAAUUAGAACAAAUUAUGAGUUUUUUUUGGAUAUUUAUUGAAGCGAAAUCUAUUGAAGGAUAGAUGUUGAUCAUGAUGUUUAAAACUACUUUGUACCCGAGAUAAAAAUAUAGAAAAGAUCCUUAUCAUCUCAUAUAAUUCAUGUGAUUAAAGUAAAUUACAAAUUUAUUAAAGCACAAAUACUUCUUACCAUAAAUUUUAUUUUAUUUUUUUAUAAUUAAAAUAUUUGCUAUAUCUAUUCUACUGUCUAUAAAUAUAAUAUUUUUCCAACCAUUAUUUAAUUCCACAGAUGACUUUGAUUGUAGUGUUAGAAGUGAAUGCUUUCUUGAGCAACUUUUCUUCAAGGAAACUAAUUAAUUGAUGCAAUCAGAAAAGUAGAAGUUGUUGGGAUGAUUGCGGGACAUAUUUUGGCAUGCAAAGCAUAGUACAUUUAGCUUUCCGUCUUAAAAGUUGAAUGGGUCAAAUUCAAUUUUAACUAGAUAUGAAAUGGUAUAUAAGCUAAACUAAAUAUGAUUUAAACAAUCGAUUUAGCUAGGAUACUUCAUACCAAAUAAUGAAUUUUUAAAAUGCUCCAACAUAUGAUAUGAAAAUUAAUUACUUUAACCCAUGCAUGAAUGUUCCAAAUUCCACAUAAAAAUAAUUAUUAAUGUGCCAAAUUUAUAUAAAUAUAUAAUACCUUGAAUACAUUAUGAAAAAAAAAGUGAUAUAUAAAAUUAUUUUAAUAAUGUUAAUUCGACUUGGCAAUUCCGGAUCAACUUAACUAUAUAAAAUAAAUAAUAAAAGAAAUAGGUAAAAAUAUCAUGAAGGUCCGUUAAAAAAUUCUAUCUAUUUCUACCGUUAAGUGAUGACAUAGUUAACAAAGCAAGUAGGCAUAAGUGGAAUUUUGUCACUUUAACAAUUUUUUAAAAACUUAAAAAAACCAAAUAAAUAAGUUUUUAAUAAUAAUUUUUAAAACCAUGUCUAGGACAACCAUCUUCAUGUUCAUCCUCGACGUGGUUUUUAAAAUAAUUAAUAUAUAUAUAGAAAAUUAUUUUAAAAUAUUGAGAAUUAUAAAAAAUAAAAUUAAUAAAAAUGAUUUAAAGUUACAAUAAAUAUUUGAAUUGCAAAUUAAUAAUUAUCAUCAAGUUUCCAUUUAUUUAAAUAUUUAAUAAUUAUUAUUAAUUUUAGAGUUGUGUGAUCCACAUUCCUGUUAAAGAAAUAAAAUACAGUGGCAAAAUAGGGAGAUAUGUGGGGGCGAAGAUUUUUCAAGUAGAAUCCGUAUAGAACUAUCCUUCUUCUUGGAUUUUUCCCAAAAAGAUUUUUAUAUAAAAUAUGUAUGUUCUUUUUUAUUUUUUAUUUUAUUUUUUACUUUGUGAUCAUUAUAUAUUGCCGUUAUCUACGUUCAAAUUUUUUCAAUUAAGAAUUACUAUAAAUAUAUAAAUAUUUGAAGUGUAAAAUUUGUUUUAAGCAUUUGUUUGUCCAACAUCUUGUCCACUGCUAAGCGUAUCAAUUUGAAAAAUUAUGUUACAAAUUUGGACAACAAAACAUUUAAAGGAAUAUAGUCACUGAACAAAAAAUAAAAGUUACAGAUUUUAUUAUUUUGGAUUUCUGGUUUGUUUAGGACAAUUUUAAUUUUGGCUAUUUAUUUUAAAUUAAUAUUAAUUUUAAAUAUAUUUUUAUUAAUUUUUAAUAAUUUCUUAUAAUUCUUAAUAAUUUAUAAAUAAAUUUUUGUAUUUUAAAUACUUUUUAUAAAUAUUACAUCUAGGAUUAACCUGAACAAACAUUUGUCUAAGUUUAAAUUGACGUGGUUUUUUAAAUAAUUUUUUAUUUUUUAAAUAUUUGCUAACGUGAAAAAAAUGUCACAUCAACACGAGGUACAUAUGGCAUGCCAUGUGUCAUUGUCUACUUGCUUCCUUAAUCAAAUCAUCUCAUAAUGAUAGAAAUAAAUAGAAUUUUAAACAGAAGGGUGUAACGCCCUUAAAGCCACUAUGAUAUAAGUGAUACUAUAUCAGGAAUAUGCAUAGUAACUUUCUCGAGUAAAUGAAAUGUGACAUAUCAAUGAUAGUAGAGAAGGUUGUUGGAUACUAGAAAAAGUUGAAACAAGUGAUAUAUUGUGAAAUACUAAUUCAGGGCGUAGACUAAAUUGUAAAGUUAAGAAAAGUGAAGGGUCAAAUUGUAAAAUUUAAAAUAUAAUUAGAUUAAAUUGAAUUAGUUAAAAAACUAAAAACCCAGAGUUACAUUUUUAUCAAAAGUGAGAAAUGGCUCAAAAGUGAAUAUCAAAUAUCAUAAAGGGCAAAAAAAUUAUUACCUGAAGAUAUUUUUGAUAAAUUUAUCAAAAUGUCAUGAGACAUGUGAAUUAAAUUUUAGCUAUUGGAUGUACUUGAUGAAGUGGGAAUCAAUGUGGACCCUAGGGUUAAAGAUAAUUAUAUUUAUAAAAUUAUGAAAACUUGACAUGAUAUUAGUUAUUGGAUCUUGAUGAAAAGUGAGAUGAAACAAUGAUCAUUUGAUUGAAAUUAUUAUAUUAAACUAUUUUUAUUAGAUAAUUAUUAAUGGAAAUAUGAAGAGCUUUCAUUAUUAAUGGAAGUAUGAAAUUAUUAUAUAAAGAUAUUUUCUUCAUAUUUCAUGCACCAAACGUCCAAGCAAGGGAGGAAGAAAGAAAAUUUGGUUUUUAUUCAAUUUGGUCAUUUUCCAUCAAAUAUAAAAAUCUCCACCCAAAACCUUUGAUUUUUAAGUAAAAUUUCAAGUAAAAUCAUGUUAUCAACAAAAUCAAAAGCUUAGUUUCAUGAAGAAAUUCAUGGGUUUGUGGAUGUAAGUGAGAGAAAGUUAAGAAAAUUUGAGAAAUAAAUGUUACAGGGUAAGAAUUCAAGUGUUCUCUUAUAGAUUUUGUAUUUUGUUGAAGUAAAAACAAGAGAUAGUGGUGCUUGAUAUGAGUUUUGAUUAUGGUCAUCUUGUGUUCAUGAAGAGAAAAAGAAAGAAAGUGACUGUCACACCCCAAAAUAUAGGGGGUUAAUUGAAAUAAUUAAUUAAGAAAUGAAUUAGGCUUGAUGGUUAAAUAGUUAGUGCACUUGUUGAAAGUCUUAGGAUCAAGCCACUCUUUUCUCAUUUCUUUUCCUUUUAUUUUCAACAAACUAGGAUGAAAACCACUCUAAAAUAUAUAUUGUUAGAAGUAAAACUUAAUAAGAAAUACGUCUUUGGCCUAAUGGUUAACACACUAACACUCUCUUUAUUGACUGAAGUUUGAACCAUUCCAUCCCCAAAAAUCUAUUUUAUUUUUCGGCAGUAAGGAUAAAUUACAUUUGAAAACCCUAAGUAUUUAGUACCUUUUUUCGUAAUUACAUUUGAUUUUUUGCUUUCUUUUCCAAUCCAAAUAGAAUUUUGCUUUCUUCUCCCUAUUUCUUCUCCCUUUUCUUUUCCAUCCUCUUCUUUGCAUCAUAUUUUCUUCUUAUUGCUAAAAUUAUUUUUGCUUCCCAAAUCAAAAUCUAUUCUCGUUCAAGUCAUUUUUCUUACCGGUUGUCGAUCUCGCGAUUGAUAGCACUCGUUUCUUUUCAUUAAAGGUUCAGCAAGUAAAUUCAAUUUAAUUAGUAGACUCGUAAAUUCCACAAUAGCAUCAAUCCAUGUUAAUAUUUCAAUUCAAUUACUCAAUCUUUCUGGUUUUUGCCAAAUCUUUCGAUAAUCUUGAUGAAUCUUGAAAUCAAUUGUUAAAUUGUGUAUAAAUUUCGUUUGAAGGACCCGUUUUAGGUGUGUUGGACCAAAAUCGAGCGUAAAGAACGUCAAUUGGACUCUCGGUGAAAUGUGUGUUCUUUUACAAGUGAAUUGGAACAAAUUGUGUCUAGGAAUGAGGCCACACGGUCUCCCACACGGGCGUGUGGGCCACAUGCUAGAAACCCAAGGCUAGUUUGAAUCUCACACGGCCAAGAACCCUCCACAUGGCCUGUCACACAGUCGUGUCUCCCUUGUAGGUUAAUUUUUACAAUUACCACACGACCAUAAUUUGUUACACGGCUUGGUCACACGACUGUGUAGCCCCUCCAUAUAGCCUAUAGCCUUUCACAUGGCCUAACUACACGGUCGUGUGACCCUUGCUUUUCAGUUUUGCUCAAAAAUUUAUGGUUUUGUUCAUUUUAGUCCCUAAACAAUUUUUAGGGUUUUAUUUCUCUCAAUUGAACCCCUAAUAAUAUGAGCAUUGGAAUUCAUGAUCUAAAUGAUUGAAUUGUUAUUGUAUAUGCAUGAUAUGUAAAUAAUAUAUUCCUGUUGCAUCUGCAUUAUUGAAUGUAUGAUCAAUAUGCCUUAUGUUACUGUUAAACCGAACACAUGAUAAGCAUGUCUUUUGCAACUGAAUUAAUUUGUUACAAACAUACUGAUGGGUGUCGAAUCCACCAAUAUAAACUUACACCUAAUUUUAAGCAGUAUAGGGAGUAGGGUCGAUCUCUUAGAGACUGGGUUUACUGCAAAUUAUUGCUCUUUUGACCAGAUUUAUGUCGGGGCAGUUGUCGUGCCCAAGAAAUUUGGGGGGAGGAUAAAAUCGAAAACCUGGAACCUGAAAUAAAUAAAUAAAAUGCAUAAAAAGUAAAAGCUGAAAAUAAAUAAUCAAAAGCUGUUAAAUAAAUCUGAAGAAAAAUUAAUUAAAAUAAGCUCAGCUUUAGGUACGGAUUUUUCCUCGUCUUUGAACCGAUCCUCGAAAUUAGAUGAACUCCUCUUUUCCAAUAAGCUAGUUAUAGCUACCAAGGACGCUUCGGACACCAACUCUUCCUUGUGUAAAUUAGUUAUGGAACGUCCAAUAACUAACCCUUACCGAUCGAACAACCACGAAACGUUCGUGAUUUAGAACUCCGGCAGCUUUGCGUUCUAGAAGAGCCUAGCUCGAACCAAUGCCCUCAAUCGCGUGGAACAUUUAAAUUCAGUUACUACUUCCCUUGACGGAACCAAACAUCAAUCUCCACUUGGCACGCCAAUGUGUUCACAGAAAACCGAUUAGAAACGUUCCUUUCGGAAUUCCAACUGUACGUCUAACUACACUAAAUCAAACGACGUCUUUUUUGAAUUAAUGUUGAUCUGACUUUGUGAGUUGACAAAAUCAUACUCUUAAUCCGGAGAAAUAAUAAGUACUGGAAUUUAGGAGUUAAUUUGCUCGGGUGCGUAACUCACGGGUUUUGAUGAGGCUAAUUUCGGCCUAAAGCUGAAAUGGAUACUUAAUAAAAAAAACUUGGUAAUUAAAAACUUGAUUAAUGACUUGAUUCAAGACUUGAUGAUAAAAUGAACAAAGUAGUCCACUAUUUAUACUAGUGGCGUUGCUAAAUUAAGAGACAACUAGUAUAGAAAAUCAAGGAAUAAAAUAUUAAAAAUCCCUACAUAAUCUCCCACUAAGUCAAAAAAAAUUUCAGCUAAUUAAUCUUGGAAAAAUUCCGCUUUGGUCCUCCUUCUUUGCUUCUUUCUUCAAUCUAGCCCAAUUGUCUCCUUUUUCUUCUAUUUAGCCCCAAAUUGCACCCCUGCACAAAAUUCAAAAAAAACAUGGAAAAAUUAGUGGUGCACUCUCAUAAUUAACCAAUUUAAUUACCUAGAAUAUGUAACUUUAGCAUUUAAUCACAUACUAUUUACUGCUGUAUUGAUCUAUUAUAAGGAUAUUAAUUGCUACGGUGUUUAUUUGUUAUAAUCACAUUAAUUGCGUCCGUAUUGAUCUGUUAUAAGCAUUUUGAAUUACUAUCGUAUCGAUCUGUUAUAUGCAUAUUAAUUGGUACCGUAUUGAUCUGUUAUAAGCAUGUCAAAUUGCAUUGCAUAGAGUGGGAGGAUAUGUACGAAGGAAGCAUUAGCAAUUUAUCUGCAAAUUUGCUAGGAAAACCACAACCAUCGGUAGUCUAUCUACAAAUUUGUUAUGUAUCCACAACGAGACGAAGAUUCUAUCUUCGAGAUUUUACUGUGUAUCCAUAGCCAAAGGUAGAUUUUAUCUGCGAGAUUGUGUUGUUCAUCUACAGCCAAUUGCAAAUUUUAUCUUCGAUAUUUUGCUAUGCAUCCACAAUCAUGUACCAGUUCUCAUCUACAAAUUAUAUUGUGUGUCCAUAGACAUUGACAGUUUAUCUGUAAACCAUUGGUGGCUAAACCACCACCCGGUGUGUAGGCUGUUGGAGUUCAGGGGAACUCCCAUUGUAGUGUGUAGUGAAGUUGUGUAGGAUUUUUCAUUGAUAUACUAAAAUUGCAUUGCCAUUCAUAAACGCGUGCAUACUGUAACAACCCGUUUCUCAAUGGUUUUGAAACAGUAGUUUUGGGGCCACAAAUUUGACGAGUGAGUCCGUAAAUAUUAUUUAAUAUUUAUGAGUUAAAUAUUGUAUUAUAUUUUAUUUUGAUAUGGUAAAUUAUGUUAUUUGAAUGAAUAACUAAGUUUAAGUGGUGUGUCCCUAAAGUCAAAUGGGUUUAGAAAAUGAGGUAUCAGGACCUCGUUUCUAUAAACCGAGCUUGUAAUUUUUUUUAUAUAUCUACAGAGCGUUAUUAGGAUAAUAUUAAAUUUUGGUUAAGAAAUUUUAAUUUUUAAAUAGUUAAUUGAGUGAAAAGGGUUAAACUGUAAAAGAUGCAAAAGUUAAAUUCUAUAUGUUAAAGGAGUCACGUGGCUAUGAAAUUUUAAAUUAAAGGAUUUAGUGGGUAAUUAUACCAUGUAUAUUGAUAGUGGACAAUUCUUGGCGUGGUUUUUGUCAUUUUUAAGGUUAUUAUUAUAAGGGUCAAAUGGUAAUUAAUUAAUAAAUUAAGUUAAAAUAAAGAUAAAAAGAAUGUCAUCUUCUCCAAGUAAUGUGAGUAGCUGAAUUUCCAUGGAUAAGGAACCAAAGCAUUCGACCAUGCUUGAUUCUUCAUUCAUGGUGAGUAAUUUUUACCCCAUUUAUAAUAAUUUUUAUAUUUUUGAGCUCGUAUUAAUUUAUCUAGCUAACUCGGAGGUCAAAUUGCAAAAUUGUUAAAUGUUAUAAAUUGUGCCGUGGAUGAAUUUAAUAUGUUUUUGAAGUUUUAUGGUAGAUUGUUGAGUUUGGUUGUUAAAUGGAUAUAUUUUGUUAAGUAUUUUUUUAUGAUUUUAAGGUUUAGGGACUUAUUUAUUAAAAUGGUAUAAUUCAAGGAAAAUAUUGUAAAUUUUUUAUAAAUAUGGGUUGUUAUAAGGUUGGUAAAAAUCGGCUAGCAUGAUUUAUGGUUAACAAUGGUGAAAUUGUAAGUUUCAGAUUUAGGGACUAAAUUGCAUAAAAAGUAAAUUUUGAUGGAAAUUUCAUUAAUUUUUUUAUUUUGGGUUAUAAGUUAAAUUGAUUAUUUUAAAUGCUGAAAUGAGGUUAAUUGGAUAAAAAUAUUUAUCUAGAUCAAGAAACAACUCGAACGGACACAAAUUGCGAAAAAGUCAAAGUAACGGAAUAGUUGUCUGAUUGUAUUAGAAGUUGUUAUGAGUUUAGGUAAGUUUGUAUAUUGAAUCAUUCAUGAAUGGUAAAAUUUUUAAUUGAUAUUUAAUAAUUAAGGUAAGUGGAUUUUGGAUUGAUUAUUAUGUAUUACAUGGUUAAUUGAAUUUAAUGAUUGUAGUGAGUUAGUGAUGAAUUUAAGAACAUGUAAAUUUCAUGAAUGGUUAUAUGAGAUAUUAUAUUGAAAGGGGAAUUAAAGUUAAGUAUGAAAAAUGUGAAUUUUAUGGAAAAAUAUUGAAAUGCUAAUUUGAAAAUAAAGGUCACAUAUAAGGAUAUUGAAAGAGACCUGUUUGAACCUUAUGAGCACAUAGGAUACAAUUGACAUGUCAUUAGGGAUUAUAUGUUUUGAGUGUUGGUCCUGGAUGUCCUACCGAUGGCUGAGGUCCUACAUUUGUUAUGGAUUCUCCACAGCUCAUGUGAGCAGUAUCGUGUAGCUAACAUCUCGACCCACAGCUUGUGUAAGCAUUAUUGAAAAGAUUAUGGUUAUACGGAAAGGUGUUCCCAAGUAUCCGAUGUAAUUCUAUAUGGCUCAACGGGUAAGUAAAGGUUAAUGGAAAGGCAUGUAUAAAAACUUGAUGUUACUAAUGUUCAUAUGAAGUGGAAAGAUGGAUAUGCACAUAUGAAAUGUAAAGGAUGAGAAUUUAUCAUGUGAUGAAUGAAAUAUGCAUAGAAUUCAUUUCUUAAAUUAUAUUAUGUUUCAUAGAUGUUAUGUUACUCAUUAUCUAUUAACAAUGUGGAUUCAAAAGAGAAGAAUGUGUAAUGGAUGAUAUGUAAAGCCUAAAUGCUUAUUACAUAUAUGCCAUGAUUUACUUGAAACUUAUAUGUAAUGAUAUACUUACUAACCUUGUGAGGUGGUGUGUAUAGGAAUGGAAGAUUGGCAUAUGACAUGAGGAAAGUAUGUUGGUUGUUUAAUUUAAUAUGUUCCAUAAGUUUAAGUUUCCUUUAUACGAGCUUACUAAGCACUAGUUACUUAUAUAGUUGUUUUCUUUGUCUGUAGAUCAUAGAAAAGCUCAAUUGGUUGGAAUCUCAUCGGAGCAUCGUCACACUAUCCAUUCGCCAUAUUGGUAGUUUUGGUUGUUUCAGAUAAUGGUUAUAAAUGGCAUGUAAUAGGGUUAAAGAAGUUAUUUUAGUGAUUUGUCUUGUUUAAGUUGUGCUAAGCUUAUUGUGGUUAAUGAUGUUAAAAGAUGGCAUGUGAAUAAUAGAUACAAGUAUGAGUGGAUUAACCUUAUGCAUGCUCCAUGGAUAGUAGGUAUUAUAUGGUAUAAUAGCAUGUCUUCGAAUGACUAUUGAGCAUGAUUGACAUAGGUUUAAACUAGAAUUUUAAGAUUUUGAAUGAGUUUAAGAUCAUGUGUGUGAAACGUGGUGCCUUUGAAUGGCACAUCGGUUAGGUAUAUGUUAAAUGGUUCUUGACAUGUUUUGGGUGAUUUUGAAUGUGAUUUAAGCAUAUAAAACUAGUUAUGGAUGGUAUUGCUGAAUGGGUAAGAAAUUAUGCUUGAAAUGGCUUGUUUUAUGGGCAAUUUGUGCUACACACGGCCUGGGACACAGGUUGUCACACGGCCAUGUGCCACACAUGGUUACCUCACAUGGCCGUGUGUCAUUUAUAUUUUAGAUACAGGUUUUACACGGUCUGAGACACGGCCUAUGACAUGGUCAUGCCUCCCAAAACAAACUCGAACAAGGCCUGGCACAUAGCCUGCGACAUGGUUGAGUGACCCAACUUUGAAGAUACACAUGGGCUAAUACACGACCGUGUAUCCCUACUUCGAAUGUUCACACAAUUUGGGCUAUGUCACACAGCUUGCGACAUGGCCAUGUGACCCAACUUCAAAUAUAUAUAUGGGCUGGGACACAGCCAUGUGUCCCUACUUCGAAUGUUCACACGGCCUGGAAACAUGGCUGUGUGACCCUUGUUUCACAAUUUUUUCAUAUUUUGCUUGAAAUUUCUGAUUUGCUUCGAAUAAGUCCCUGAUUGUUUCCAAACUGUUUUUAGGACCAAUUAAGCUCGAUUUAAGGCCCGUAAAAGUAUUUUUAUUAUAUUUAGAUUACGCUAUGGAAUAUAAAUAUGUGAAAUGCAUGUUGAUUUAUGUUUCAAUGUUUAAUGUUCUGUUGUGUACUAUAAUGCUUUGUAACCCUGAUUCGGCAUCGAAGAUGGGUUAAGGGUGUUACAUAUACAUAAUCUAUGAAUUCUAAAAUAUUACAUUGAUGGUUGAUUCAUAAAACUGAUACAUUAGAUUGAUAAAGGACUGUGUUCAUUCUAUGUGUUGUUAUAUAGUAUGUCUUAUCGACUAUUUGCAUUGAUUAUCUUGUGAUUGAACUCACACUGAGCUUCAUAGCUCACUCCCUUUUUAUUUCCACCUCUAUAGAUAACCCACCAGGUUAGGACGCGGGCAAGACAUCUGGAGGGUCUCGGCUCGGUUUUAUGUUUAUUAAAAUAUUUUAGAUUUAUUAUUUGAUUUUUUAUUUAGAGACUGUAUUAUUUUAAUUUCAAUUUGUGGUAUGGGACAUAGGAUUUGGGUUAAAAUAGCAUGCAUGACAUUUAAUUUAAUCUAAUGUUGAAAUAUGGUUUUUUAAUUCUUCAUGCAUAAAAUUUGAUUUUUUAUUAAAUUAAAACUAAGAUGAAUAUCACUUUUUCACUACUAAGUUUUUUUUUAAAAGUAGUCAUUGUUACAUAGGAAAGUUAAACUGAAUCGAUUUUUCGAUUACUCGUGAACUUUCUGAAAAUAAACUAAGUUUUCUAUUAUAAAAGAAAAAUGUUUAAUAUGACUAUUUUAUAAACUCUGAUAAAUCUACUAGGAUGUUUCGGUGGACGAUGUAAUCUCCCGAAUUUGGGCUUAACGUCUAGGCCACGUUGGGGAGGUUAUAGUGACAAAGGAAGAAAAGUGAAGCGAAGGAAGUGAAAUCUAGCCAAAAAUAGGUAAGUACUCUUAUGGAUUCUAUUUACUUUUCUAAUGAUUACAUUAAAAUAUGUGAUCAAUUAAGUGUAGUGAAUGUGAAUUUAAUUAAAAAUAAUAUUAGUGUAAAAAUAAUAAUGAGAAUGAAAUGUUGUAAGUAUAAGGAUUAAGUGAGUAAAUUGAUAUAUUAAUUGACUUGAGAAGUGAAAUCAUAAGUAAAUUUAAUGUGUAUAUAAUAUAUUAGAAAGUGGGACUAAAUUUAAUAUUAUUCAAAAGUGUAGUGAAAUUUUUAAAUAAGUAAUCUUAAAAUAGAAAUUUACUAUGUGAUAAGUGAAUUAAAUAAUAAGAAAAGAAAUUAGUGAAUUGAAAUAUAGUAAGUGAUAUUAAACAAGGAAUAAGUGUUAACGCAAGUGAUCAUGAGUGAAUUCAAUGAAUAAAAUAUAAAGUGUAUAAGUUGUGAAAGUUGAUAAGUGAAUAAAAUAGUGAAAGUGAUAAGCAGUAUGUGGAGUUAGUGAAAUAAUAUUUUGUGAUUAGAUUAAGUGAUAAAUUAUGUGAAUUAUUUGUGUGAAAGUGUGUGAUAUAGUCAUAAGUGCUAUAUGAAAGUGUAUAUUUGAAUGUGAAUUUUAAUUGUGAUAGAAUUAGAAAGAAAUAAUCACAAAAGAAUAAAAUAGUGUGAAGCCCUAGUAAACAAAGUAGAACUAGUAGGAUAUAAUUAGCAUGUCAUAGGAAUGCCAUAGUGCGCUUAAGUGUGAUCUACACUUCAAUGCAUAAGUGUGAUUAGCACUCAGUGCUCUAGUGUGAUUCCGCAUAUUCUUGAUUCUCCAUUGUUUACUAACGGCUAAGUGAAGUAAGCAAAGAGUUUAUACUUAAGGUAUGUUACUUUAACUGAACAUUUGAUACAUCAAUAAUGAUGUGAUUAAGAUAAGAUAUAAAAGGAAUUAGUGUAUUUAAAUGAAAUUUAUAUUCAUUACUAAGAUAAUUAUAGAAUUCAUAUGAGUACUUACUAAGCUUAUAGGAGCUUAACGCGUUGCUUUCAAAUGUGUAGAUUGGAGAAAGAGAACAAGUGGAAAGAGUUUGAGCAUGGCUUUUCGAAUCAGAUCUCGUCAACAAAACAAGGUUUGUGAAGUAUGAAUUUUAAAUUAUGGACAUUAGUGUGACAUGUACAUAGGUACUCUUUGGAUUGAAAGUAUUAAAUAGGUAGUGCAUUGGCUAAAAGUUGUAUAGUGAUUAACUGGAAAUGUUUUGAUCUUUUGUGGCACAUUAAUUGGAGAUUGAACAUAGAUGAAUAAUAUAAUGUUUUGUAUGAAAAUUUGGAGUAUUUUAACAAAAAAAAAAUAGUAUUAACAAUUGGACUUGAAUUUUGAAAUCUAAAAAGUAGAAUGACUAAAUUCUUGAAAAUACAAGUACAGGAAGUAAAUUCUUAAUUUCCAAAAAGUCCAGGGACUAUAGGCAUAUUUUAAACUAAAAUAAGAUAUCACGAUGUAAAUGAAUGAAAAAUAAUAUUUAUGUAAAUUAAGGGAUAAACAUUAAAACUAUACAUGAACUUUGAUCUAAUGUGCAAUGCCCUACAUGCACUUUGAUUUUAUGUGAUUUUAUACAUGAAGUUUUGAUUUAAUUUAAUUUUUACAGUUCACUUCAAUUGAAUCAAAAUCAAAGUUUCAUGUAUACAUAUGAACCACAAUUUAAGUUUCAUGUGUAUAAUUGUACCAAAUCAAAGUUCAUGUCUCAAAUUGCACAUUGGACCAAAGUUCAUGUAUAAAUUUUAUAUUUAUCCCUAUAAAUUAAUAAUUUUAUCACACAUGUAUGCGUGUGGAAACCACCUGUUUAGAACAUAGGUGUGUGCUUGAAAAUAACAUCCAAUAAAUAAUUAAACAUAUUGCUUGAAACUUUUAAUAAUGACACUAGUAGUUCUACUAUACAUGUACGUGUGUGGAAACCACGUAUUUGGAAAAUAAGUGUGUGUUUAAAAAUAACAUGUAAUAAAAUGUGUGGUUUGAAACUAAUAAUAACAAUAACACAUAUGUAAGUUGUACAAAAUUAGAAUAAAAUAAAUUACUUUAAAUUGUGAGUAAAAAUAAAUUUCAAUAGGUCAAUAUAUAUUAUUAAAAAUAUUAAAUCAACUCUAAUUGCUUUGUAGCUUAUCAUGUCAAUUUUCUAUAGCACGUUAAAAAGUCAUCAUGUUAGGUAACAUUAUUUAAGAUGUUAUCAAAAUGCCAAAAUGUUAUCAUAUUGGUGAAAGAAAUUUUAACAUUAAAAUAGUUAUAAAAGAUAUAUUUAACAAAUGAAUCAUAAGUAGAGUGGUAAUUUAUUUAUUUAUUUUAAACUUUCAUCAAUCUUGAGUUGGUAUCGAGUUGACUUGCACUAACUCAAUCAACAACAUCAUCAAUAAGAAAAUUGUACACCCUUUAUGUGAGCGGAAACUGACAAAAAUUAGAGUAAAUAUACAUUUUUGUACUUAAACUUCGCUUCAAGGUUCAAAUUGGUACCUACGGUUUUUUUUAUCCAAUUAGGUACUUGAACUUGGUUUUAAGGUUCAAUCUAGUGCCUAAAGUUUAUUUUGGUCCAAUUAGGUACUUGAACUUAGUUUCUUAGUUCAAAUUGGUAUAUAAACUUGGCUUUUCUUGUCCUAUUUAGUACUUGCAGUAAAUGACUUAUUUAAAACAAUUUGAACUAUGAAGCCAAGUUCAGGUACCUAAUUUGACAAAAAAUAGUUUAGAUACAAAUUGAACCUUGAGGCCAAUUAUAGGUACCUACUUGGACCAAAAAAAAAACUUAGAUGCCAAUUUGAACCUUGGAGCAAAGUUUAGGCACCAAAAUGUAUAAAUACCCUAAAAAUUAUUAAAAUGGAAAAAUGAGAAUUAAUAAAAUUUGUUUUAAAAAUAGGAAAUAAAAGGAAUUAUUUGGUGGUUAAAAAAGUAUAUUUAGCUCUCCAUUUAAUUUGUUGUCCUUUUUAACCCUUAAACUUGUAUUAUUUGUCAUAUUACUCCAAAAUGGAUAGAAAAGUUAAAGUUUGUUAACUUUGCUAAUGUGGCAUACACGUAGAUAUGUCAUGUUAGCAAUUAAUUAAUUUUUAAAAAUUUAAAAAAUAAAUACUUAUUUUAUAUAUAUUAUAAUUAUUAAAAAUAAUUUUUAAAUUAACUAAAUGUUGAUAAUAUUUAUGGAUGAGGUAAAGUUUAUUAAUUUAAAUUCUUCCAAGCUGUUGUUUUUCAAGUCUAAAAUAUCAAUCAACAUGCGACCAACUUUUGGAUGGGAUUAAGGUAGUGAAGAUAAAUGGAAGUAGGUAAUAAGUUUGCAAGAGCCUAAGUUGUAAAGAGGGCAACUCAAACACAUAUCAAUUAAAAGAUCAAGCCCAUUUGAAGUUCAUGAAGAUCACUUGAAGCCUUGGUUGUUUUAUUUUCGGCCUAAUUUGUCAAUGACCCAAUUAAGAAUUUUAUUUUUUAAGCUUAAGUUAAUUUGUUUUCUUGUAAAUUUGGUCCAUGCACAACUUCCAAAAAGCUAGCCAAAUUCACUUAGUCUUUUGUUUCCUCUUUUAAGUUUCUUAGGAAGAAAGAGUUAUCUUUCAUAGUUGCCCAUAUUUUUAAACCACAUUUCUGAGAGUUUUUUUUAUCUUAGCCAUCCACAUUUUCUAGGCUAGUUUUUAGGGAUUUUUCUCUCUCUUUUUCAGCUCCCUUAUUGUAUAAUAAUGGGAAGCCACCCACCAUAAAGGGCACCUAACUUUGAUUUGAAUAAAAGUACUAUUUGAGUUAUUCUCCUUUGUAAGAACUACUUUCUUGUUUAUUUUAGAAAAGUUUUCAACUCAAGCUUCUUCAAGAUUGUUGGUGGGAGUUAUUCACGUUUCAGUUUGCCAAGUUAUCUAGCUUGGAGGGUCGAUUAAAGCCAUCAGUGGAGUUUAUUGAAGCUUGUUCAUUAAGGGAUCCAUUAGAUAUCUUUUUUACGCAUCUUACCAUCUUCAUUUUUAUCAUCCUUUCAUCUUUCAUCUUUCAUCCCUCUUUAUUUAUUCUUUUUUUUUUUAUUCUUGAAUUGUUCCUAACUUACUUAUCUUUUAAUUUCAACUUUGGCCUAACCUUCUUGGAGAACAAGAUUCAAUUUUUCUCUUUCAAAAACCCAUUACACAUUGGUCAAAUCCAUCUUCUCUUAUUUCAAUCUCUUUCUUUUCAAAUAUAUUUUACUUUCAUUCUUUCUAAAUUUUUGUUAGUUUAAUCUUUAGAUUCGAUUUCUAAACAUUUUGAGCAACUUAAAAUCGAUUCAUCUGUUGCCUUCUAUCAGCUAACGUGACAAUCCAUGUGUAUGCCACGUCAAUAAGUUGGCUAAAGUUAACUUUUUCAUCUAUUUUGGGUGAUUUGACAAACAACGAAAGGGCUAAAAAAGGAGAAAAAUUAAAUGGUGGCUAAAUUUACUCUUUUUUUUUGUAAAAUUGAAGGGCCAAAUAAGUCAUUUUGCCUUCUUAUUAUUUUUUCCUUGCCUUCUUAUUAUUUUUUCCUUUGUCCUCCUCAUCCUUCCCUUUUUUUCUUCUUAUCUCUAAUAUUUUAACAGCUUCAAAACUUUCUGUAGAAAAAAAAGCUUAAAAAUCUAUUACUAAUAAGCAAAAGCCGCAAUAUGAUGCGUAAUGUUAAAAGAAUAUAGAAAAGAAAAGAGAAAGGAAUAAAGAAUGUAACAAGCCACACCCGACCCGCUCAUCGGAUCUGGGUAUGGAGUGUUACAAUUUAAAACCAUCUGGACUGACUAAACCGUUUGAAAAAAAAUCAAACAACCUAGUUAUGAGGAUUUCCGCAUACUGGAAUGAUGUCCCAAAAUAUUGACUAAUUUAUAUAAAAUAAAUUGAAAUAAUUUAAAACAGUAAUAUGCCACUUAUAGUUAGGGUAUGUGUAAACAUCAUUUGGUGAAAACUCUAUAAGCAAUCGCAGGUUCGAAUAAAAUCGUAAACGAGUUAACACUCGAGUAGGACUUAAAAUUUCGUUUCUGAAUGGCUAAUAUCAAUUGAAAUAGUUUGACAUGUAACCCAUCAAAAUUAAUCAUGAUAAUCCAGAAAUACAAAACAACAAUUUUAGAUACAAGUUUUGUUUCAAGCUCAAACUGGCAGAAACUAACAGACAUCCUAAUUCCUUAGCGAUUUCAUGUUACACCAAGACAAGAGAAUGGCUCACAAAUAGGUCACAAAUUUGGUUGAAUCCCUGCAAUGAAAUGUCUAACCUACAAGCUUGGAAAUAAUAAGAAAAAAUCUAAAAUAAGUUUAUAAGAACUUAGUGAGUUCCAAGGAAAUAUAACCCCACAAUAGGGUUUAACAGACAUCACUAGACUAGGACUUAGACCGACAAAUGGCUCGCCACUUCUGGCGGAUACAAUUUUCCUUUUUUUUCUAAAGUAUCCAGUGAUGGAUACUUCUGUAAAUAGACACAGCUUAACUGACACAAGGCAGAACUUCUUGAUUUGUAUGACACCUCUGCGAAUUGUCUCUUUAUGACCUUUUAUCAUACUUUUUACAUUUCAUGCAAUGUUCACACUUUUUUAACACAAUAUACACCUAGUAAGCAGUAUAGUCCCUUCCUUGUAGUAGCUUCUAAUCCUAGUUCUGAAGAACCAAUAUUCAUGCAUCUUCAUACCACUCCGUAGAUCCCUAAGACCAGUCAUAACCUCUGUACCUCCAUUAUUCCUCCUUAUGAUUCGAACAUACAAGUGUUCCCCCAUAAGGCUGGGUAUUCACCAGUCAUGGUUUGCUCCAAAGUGCAAUAACAGAGGCAAAACAUAAUGUGCUAUAGCUUCUUUUCAUCAUCAUACGUAACAACCCUCCAAUACCUCCUUACACUAUUUCAGAGAUGAAGCUUGUGCACCAAGUAAAGAGUAUUUUAACCAAUGCAAAUGCAAGACUUCUGUCUCUGAAUUUCUGGUUGUAACCAUACAUGUAUCAACUCCUUACUACGUCCCUUUUUACAUGCAUACCUGAACCAAAGUUUAAAGCUACUUCCCUGGAUAUACAACGGGAAAGUUUAGACAUAAUAAUACAAAUAAUUGACUCAAGGUACAAAAGAACUGAGUGCCUCCAAACGUACUAAUGUCUAGAGUAUGAAUACUGCUACAAAAUAUAUGAAAUUUGAGGCGGUAUCAGUAAGUAUAUGGGUGAGGUUGUAAUAUAGUUUGUUUACAAUGAAAUACUUCGCAAGUAUUUCAAGGAUCGUACCCAAGGGAGGCUAGUACAAAAUUAAUUCUAACCUAAUCGCCAAUAGAUCUAAUUAAUACUUUAAGUAAACUAUAUUACGAAUACGCAUAAAUAAAGGGUUUUUUAAAUAUUUUUAUAAUAAUAAUAAAUAAAUAAAUAACAAGAGAUUGAAAAGUAGAAUUAAUCAAAUCUGAUUAUGGGUGAUUAGCUCGCUUCGGUAAUCCUUAUCAACUAUCGCUUCAGGUUCCUCGUCAAUCAACUAGUCACUGUCCCAGCAAGAUCUUCCGAUCUUCCACUAAAAUAAUGAGUCGGCAAGGACUACUUAUCUUCUGAUCUAACAGUCCAGACUGACUCAGGGAGAAGGUGUUCACGGUUAGACCAUAACAAUUUUGGGUUAAUUCUCACCUUGAUGACUUUCUAAGGUUGUCAGGCCUAGGGUUUAGGUUCUACCUUUCGCAAAUAGUUGAUCCAUUGAGUAACCCUAUAAAAUAGUUAAUAGAUCAUACCUCCACUCGCUAAUCCCCUAUAGAGGGAUUAGUUCCUCAUGGAAUCAACAAACAUCAUAAACUUGAUCUUGAAUAUAUGCAAAAAUAAUAAAACAAGAGUAGAGUUUAGAGAAUCCUGUUUGUAUUUGAUAUUUGAAGUGCUGAAAUCCUCAAAUGUUUGAUUGCGUCUACAAAUCACGUUCUCCUAAGAACACUAAUGAAAAGAACUGAAAAGAAGUCUAAACCUUAAGAGAAAGAAAAAUAAACUGAAAACUAAAUGUUAUAAAGGAAACUAAUAAUAUCAAAAGUUGUUUAUAACAAGUGUUAAAUGAGCCUAUUUAUAGAUUUAGGGCUGUUGUCAUCCUCAACCCUAGGUCAACUGAUGUUCUCGUGUUAAACAUUUGAUUGUGCAUACCAAAAUGCCCCUAGCUCGUAAGUGCUUCCCAUACAGGACCGAUGUUGUGACACCUUAGUGCUUGUGUCCCGACAUCAAGGGCAGUAGACUCAUAGUCAAGGUAUCUUCAAGGGUGUGCCGCGACAUCCUCAAGCCAUGUCACGACAUCGAAAAUAGUCUUGGAAUUCUUUUAUAUUUGCUUUCUAUGUUGUGACAUCAAACUCUUCGUGUUGCAACACAACGAUCAGUAUCGAGUUAGCACACCUUCUAAUGGUUUUCUACACACUCACAAAGUAUAUUAGCUCACCCUUAGGCCUUAUUCGGACCCUAAGGUUAAUAAAAGACUCAAAUUACACUUUUUAUUGAAUGUAGAUGAAAUUAUGAAAACUAGCUAAAGCAUAACAAAAGUGUUUGUAUUCAAACUCCUCAAAUGUGAAAACUAGUUUAAUUUGCUACAUCGAAUUAUGAUAGAUCAAAUUCCUCCACAAUUAAGUCAUUGCUUGUCCUCAAGCAAUGUAAACAUAUAAUUAAAAUAACGAAAAACAAGGUAUGAAAAUAAAAAGAAAAAAAGUUAGUUAUAACUAAAAGUAAACCAAAUGACAAAACCUAAAUAAAAAAAAAUGGACUUGGUUUCUUUAUUUAAACAAGCUAGAAUUAGCGAAGAUGGAUGUAAAUAAGAACCUCACACCUAGACUCCCCUACACUUAACUUUUUGCUUGUCCUCAAGCAAACCAAGUCUAAACACGUAGCAUGCAAUAAGAAGAUGUCCCUUGGAUUUUAUUAGUACUAAGAACAUGAUUGUCAAAUAUUAAAGGUAUAACAAUUCUUAUCACACAAGCAACUUAAUCUUGAUAGUUUGAUGCCUUGAAAAUGUUUAAAGCAAAUCAAGAUUAGUUUAAAAUGUUAAAUUACUAACAAAUUAGAAGUAAUUCCCAUGACCAAAUAUUUAACAAUAUCACCAUUAACAUAAAUUACACAGAUAUGUAGUAGACACAAUCAUAUGGAUCAAAAAAAUUAUUCAUUGAGUAUAAUUGUUAGCAAUUUCUGAAUAUUAUGCAUAGCGGACGAUUAAGUCACAUUGGACUUCUAGGCUUGUAAUGUUUUGAGGCUUAGGACGACAUGAGUUCAAAGAAAGAUAUGGCUCAAAAUGGUUCAAACACUAGAAAUAGUUAGACACAUGACAUUGUUCCCUCUCUUCCCCCUUAAUGUCUCAUCCAAGCUCACUGGUUUUUGUCUCUCUCUCACCUGCCUUAUCUCUCCAUGUAAGAAGAUAAAAUAUAAUACUAGCAGCUACGGUCAGCUUAACGACUUUUGGUGCACUGAUGAUUAAGUUUUCGCUCACUUUUGAGACUUUUUGUUUUGUCACUUGACUUUAUACUCUUUUCUUAGUCAUAGUGUUUUUGUUUCUAUUCUAUACUUUUCCACUCAUUUUUACUUUUGACUUUUUUUCUUUUUCGCUCAUUUUCGCCCUACCUAUAAUCAUUGUAUCACAUUGUUUCUUCCUUUUUCGCUCUUUUUUUUAAACCACCGUAAUGUAUCUACCUAAACCCUCAAUACUAUGGCCUGACAUCUAUUUCGUAAUGUAUUAAGGGACCAAGGAUAAGGAAAAUUUCAAGUUUUAUGUGUGGUAUUUGGGUUUCAGUUUUGUUGGUUCAUCAAAAAAGAGUUAUUAGACUCAAAUAAAGAGACUAAGGAUUCAUAGCAUUAUGGUAUGAUGAUUUGAGAACUGGUUAUUCAAACAAUGCCUUAGGUCAUCCCUAAGCAUCCCAUCAUACACAAUUUCUUCCAUGCUUCAAAUUAAAUCGAAUGAAUAAUAAUCAAUUCAAGCAUUCAUGUCUCUACGACUAUCUAUAAAAUUUAUAUCUCAUAUGGCAUCAUCAAACAUUCUUACUUACGUACUUCGAAUCUAUUAUGCAAUUUAACUAGGUAACCUAAUCAAUUUCCCUUAAAAUCAUCAAAUUAUCUCAUAUUAAUAAAAAAAUCCAUGCUUGACAAAAAUCAUUACAUGUUUCAUUAUUUUCAACCACUAUUCACAUUGUUAAUAUAAUCCAAGCACCAUGCAACAAAACAAUAGCAUUUUUUUUCUUUUAAAAAUAAUCAACUAAAGCAAAGUACACACUUAAACAAAAACACACAAACUAAUCCUAUACACUUCCCCCAACACUUUAGAACAUACAAUGCCCUUAACGAAAAAUAGUGUAAACAAGAAAACUUCCCUGAGUAGGUCAAAUCCUUGUUGUUAUGAUAAUAUCGAGAUUUGUGUGCUCUAAGCUGAGGAAAAGGUACCUAAAAAAAUACUACGACAAUAAAUAUGAAAUAAAAAAAAUAGAAGAAGUGUUGAAAAUGGAUGACAGAACGUCUAAAAAUAUUAGGAUGAACUUAGGCUUUUAAUGUUGCAAUGUGCGUUCUAUCUAGGAUUUUGUGACAUUAGGGUCGAUGUCACAACAUUGAGCCCAGUUUCUAGCUUCUUUGUUUUUUUUUCUAUUUUGUCCCACUAUUGUAUCUACACAAAAAAAACUUGAACAUAAAGAACAUUAAUACUAAAAACUAAAAAUAAUGAGAAAGAACAAAACAAAAAUAAAACAAAAUGUAGAAAUUCUUUAGAAACUGGGAUGAUUUGUAUCACCACCAUAGGAGAAUUUUCAGUUGGUUCUCGACACUUUGAUUCGAUGUUUAUUUCUCUGUUGAUGUAUAUGAACCAGCCUCUUUGGUCAAUUCCAAUGAUUUUGUCUUAUAUUUGACUGGCGCGACAUCCACAUUACAAGUCAUUUGGUAACAAAUCCAAGCCAACCCCAAAUCAUUUUCCGGGGUAUUAUUUCCUCAAGCUUCUUUCCCUCUAUGUCGUGUGAAGUUUUGGUCUCUCGAGCUUUAUUGCUAUUUUCGGAUGAGAAUGAGUCAAACUUAUCGACUUCUUCGGCUGACACCUUCUCUGCUAUGACCAAAGAGUGUAUUGGCUCUAUUACACUUUCAUACAAUAUUGGUUUAAGCUUUGUGUUAGUGGUUAGUUCAUCUUCCACUUCUACCUUUACGAUUAGUUUUGUUAUUAUGUCAAUUAGAUCAAAGAUCAUUUCAACUAUGUUCAACUCAUCCCCAUGAUCUUCAGUUACAAACUUCGGUUGAAUCUCACCAUAGUUCUCAUCAUGGUCAUCAAUAAUACAAGGGUUCUCUUGAACCAAGUUGUGAGUGUCAGAGAUGUCCUUUUUCUUGGAAGGAAGUGCUUCGAAUAUUUCUUGCAUCAUUUUAAUCAUUUGCGCCAUCAUAUCUGACAUGUGUGACAAUAUCUCAAAGUUGUCCAUCCUAGUGGUUUCACAUGAAGGCAUCUCAUAUGAGUCACAGGGAGGCUUUUUUGAAUGUUUGGGCAUAUUGUGAUCUUCUUCAAGUGCCUCAUAUAAAUUACCAAUGAACUGAUAUGGAUGUUCAACUAUAUCAGUACCUUCUCCAUUACUCCACUGGUUCGUUGAAGCUUCAUUUUCGCGUUGGCUCAUUUCAAUCAUAAACAAUUUAUUUUUCAUGAACUCCCAUUCUUCAUAUACUUCCUCGUCGUAUAUUUCGUCCUCAAAUCUCAUCUUAUCAUUGAACCACAUGUAAUCAAUUUCAUCCAUGUUUGAAUGAUUUUCUCAUAUUAGUCCCUAUGGAUCAGUAACUGUUUAAACAAAUAUCACUCUCUUCUGUGGCAUAUACUGAAAUUAACAAAGAAAAAUAAAGAAGUUAGUAAACUAAGUUAAUAAUAUUAAAAACACAAAUCGUAUCUAUAAUUUAAAAUUUUCCUAAUAAUUCUAUUAAAACGUAAAAAUUAAAAUCAAUUUCGUAAUGUUUCCUCCCCAACAAUGGCGCCAACAACUUGACCACCUCCGAACGUACUAACGUCCAAAGUGUGAAUACUACUACAAAAUAUAUGGAAUUUCAGGCGGUGUCCACAAGUAUAUGGGUCAGGUUGUAAUAUAGUUUGUUUACAACGAAACACUUUGCAAGUGUUUCGAGGAUCAUACCCAAGCGAGGCUAGUAUUAAAGUAAUUGUAACCUAAGCGUCAAUAGAUCUAAUUAGUACUUUAAAUAAGCUAUAUUAAGAAUACACAUAAAUAAAUAAGGUUUUUUUAGGAUUUUUAUAAUAAUAAUAAAGAUAUAAAUAACAAGAGAUUGAACAGUAGAAUUAAUCAAAUCUGAUUAUGGAUGAUUAGCUCACUUCUGUAAUCCUCAUCAACUAUUGCUUCGGGUUCCUCGUCAAUCAACUAGUCGUUAUCCCAACAGGAUCUUCUGAUCUUCCACUAAAAUAACAAGUCGGUAAGGACUACUUAUCUUCUGACCUCAUAGUCCAGACUGGCUCAUUGUGAAGGUGUUCACGGUUGGGCCAUACCAAAUUUGGGUUAAUUCCUACCUUGAUGACUUCUUAGGGUUUUCAGGCCUAGGGUUUAGGUUCUUUCUUUCCCAAAUAGUUGAUCCGUUGAGUAAUCCUUUAAAACAUUUAAUAGAUCAUACCUUUACUCGCUAAUCCCCUAUAGAGGGAUUAGUUUCCUAUGGAAUCAAUAAACUUCAUAAAUAUGGUAUUGGAUAUAUGUAUAAAGAAUAAAAUAAUAGUAAAGUUUAAAUAAUCCUAUUUGUAUUUGAUAUAUGAAAUACUGAAAUCCUCAAACUUUUGCCUGCAUCUCCAAAUCAAGUUCUCUGAAUAACACUAAUGAAAAGAACUGAAAAGAAGUCUAAACCCUAAGAGAAAGAAAAAUAAACUAAAAACUAAAUUCUACAAAGGAAACUAAUAAUAUCAAAAGUUGUCCAUAAUAAGUGUUAAAUGAGCCUAUUUAUAGAUUUAGGGUUGUCAUCGUCCUCAAUCCUAGGUUAGCUGACAUUCUCGUGUUAAACAUCUAAUUGUGCAAACCAAAACACCCCUAGCUCGUAAAUGUUUCCUAUAUAGGACUGAUGUCGUGAAACCCUAGUGCCUGUGUCGGGACAUCAAGGGCAAUAUGAUCAUAUUCAGGGUAUAUUCAGGGGUGUGUCACGACAUCCUCAGGUCAUGUCACGACAUUGAAAGCAGCCUUCUAAUGGUCUCCUGCACACUCACAAAGUAUAUUAGCUCACCCUUAAGCCUCAUUCGGCCCCUAAGGUCAGCAAAAGUCUCAAAUUACACUUUUUAUUAAAUGUAAAUGAAAUUAUGAAAACUCGACUAAAACAUAACAAAAGUGCUUUUAUUUAAGCUCUUCAAAUACGAAAACUAGUUUAAUCUACUACACCGAAUUACGACAGAACAGGAACUCACCAUAAAUAUUCACUUAGAGCUUUCUACUCAAUGAGAUCUUUCCCUUUAGCACUAAGACCUUCUCUUGAAUCUUUGGCUAAAACAAUCGAAUAACUGCUUUAAAUAUAAGAACAACCAAAACUUAUUGAAAUAACAUGAAUCGAUAAACAUGCAAACAGUUCUUAGACAAAAUUUUCUUCCUAUCUAGUAUUUAGAUGGAAACUCUAUUAAACAAUUCUUACAACAAUUCCUUUCUAUUUGAUAAAACUUAAAGAAGGAUUCAAUAACUUACCAACAGACAACUUAAAUAAAAAACCUUCAAGCCCAAUAAACAUCUCUUCCAUUAAUGGUGAAAAACACUUAUGGGUUUUCUUUGAUGAUAACGAAGGCAAGCAGAGAAGAUGAAAAUGAAAAUCUUUGCUUCACUACCGAGUUUCCCUAUUUAUAGCUAUCUCUAGCCCAAAUCCCACUCAGAGUUGAUCUCUAAUUAGUAGUCCUGCAUAUAUAUUUCCACUAAUUAAUCAUAUCCUACAAGACUCACCAAGUGUCUUGGUCAUUGACUCGAUACCCCAAUUAGGAUGCUAGAUGACUUAAACGUGUCCUAUUGACCACUAUUCCUAAAACUCAAAUUAUUUAUAGUAACAAAAACAUGGGUGGCAAACUUGUUAGCUGGAGAGUCAACCAAAUAAGGAUCUUGCCACAACAAGGAACUCGCUAAUUGAAAAAUAAGAUUCUGCAAACUCAAUGAAGCUAAGCGAAAUGCUUCGUCGGGAAGUUUGCCAACGUUAACCUGUCUAAGUCUCACGACUUAGGCGGUCUCGCCAGCGCAAUCUUCCAAACAAUACCAUCUCGCCAAAUGAGGGUGUGAAAGAGAAGAAAGAGAGAUGAUAAAGUAGAGCGAUUAAUUUCUUCAAUAAAAUUUUCAUAUCUAUUUAUUCAUUAUGCAAUUGUUUAUAAUGGCAAAGAAUGGGCAAUUACACAACCUACUAUAUGGUUGUUACUUAAUAGUUGCAACCAACUCUAAAAAUGCACUAUUUUUAUUAAUCCUUAAAACAUAUAAAAAUGAAUUGUUUCAUUAAACUCUCAGCCCUAAACGCAUUGUUCAAAUAAUUGAUUUUAACUAACUAUUUUAUUCCAUAACAAUUUACCCCUUUAGGAAAACAUCCUUGUCCUCAAGGAUUGAAAUGUGGAAAUUUCCUUUGCAGCUCCUGUAGAGAUUCCCAAGUCGAGUCUUCAAGGAAAGCAUUAGUCCACUCCACUAGAACUGUAGUGACAACCUUGUUUCCUAUCUUGACUAUGCGUUUAUCAAGGAUACGAGUUGGCUUCUAAUCAUAGCGCCAUUAGUACCUACCACAGGUAACACAUAUAGAAUAAGUGCAUUCCCCACAUGUUAUUUGAGUUAAGAAACAUGAAAAGUGGGGUGAAUGCAAGAACCUGGGGGCAGCUUAAGUCUGUAGGCAACCUUCAUCAUCGGAGCCUCAAUGGCAAAAGGAUCAAAGAACUUAGAAGCCAAUUUUCGAUUCACCACUUUCCUAACUGUAUGUUGCUUGUAGGGUUAUAGUUUAAGAUAAACUAGAACCUCCAAUGACCAGGUCUUUCACCAAUCAUGCACCUUAAAUACCCCUCUAGACAUCAGUUGAGUUCCUUUAUUUGACCAUCAGCUUCCAGGUGGUAAGCAAUAGAGAGUUUCAGAGAAGUACCAAGCCUUUUAAACAAAUCCUACCAAAAAAGACUAAUGACUAUCUUGUCACGAUCCAAUACAAUGAACUCAGGCAUCUCAUAGAGCUUGUAAGUUUAGUUUAGAUACAAUGUGCCACUAUUGAAGCUAUGAAGAGGUGAGAUAAGGCAAAAAAGUGUCAAUAUUUAGUGAGCCUAUCAACAACUACUAGAAUAGUAUCCUUCCCUUUAGGUAGUCCUUCUAUAAAGUCCAUGCUCACAACAACCCAAGCCUUAUCAGGAAUAGGUAAUGGUUGAAGUAGACUUGGUCGAGUAGCAUUAUCACUUUUGUAUUACUGGCAUGUUACACAUUCUUGUACCCAUUGUUUAAGACCAUUAGACAUUCCCUUACAGUAUAAUAGACUUGCAACACAACGCCGAGUGGCAUGAACCCCAGAAUGACCUCUUGAAGCACUCCCAUGGAAGUAUUAAAGUAGUUAUUUUUUUAGAUCGCCAAUAACCCCCACCAUCAUUUUUUUCUUUCCUCCUUAAAAAUCCACCAUCCCAUGAAUACUUGGGAUGCAAGGAAGCCUGUUGUUGUACCUCAAAGAAAAGCUUGCUAAGCUUAGGACCAGUCUGCCAAAAGUCUUAAACUCGUGUAAAUAAGUCAAACACCAUGGAAUUGCUAAUAAACUAAAGUAUUGGCCAGACUGAAUUUGUGAUCUCCUUAAAAGAAUAUCAACAACCACAUUAUGAACUCCUUUCCUAUAAGUGUCUUCAUAGUCAUACCUUACAUUUUAGGCACCCCACUUCUAUUGACAAUGAGCAACGUCUUGUUUAUCAAACAAGAAUCACAAAAUUUAGUGAUUAGUGUGAAUUUUGAAGUGCCUACCAACUAAGUAGAGACUUUAUUUCUUUACUAAAAGAAGUACAACCAACAUUUCCUUGUCAUAUAUAGAGAGGGCUUGGUGUUUAAUCCCAAGAGCCUUGCUGAAAAAGGAAAAAGGUUUGCCACCUUGAUGUAAAACAACACCUACUCCAUAACCACAAACAUCAAUAUCAAUGAAAAAUCUAGAGUGGAAAUCAGGGGGAGCAAGAACAGGAGCAUUACAUAUGGCCUGUUGAAGCUGUUUGAAGGUCUCGUCAGCAUGAUCAUUCCAUCCCCGCUCAUUCUUCUUAAGUAAGUCAAUCAAAAUUUUUGUUAAAGUGUCAUAAUUCUUGACAAACCUUUGAUAAUAACUUGAGAGCCUUAAAAAAACCUCUCAAUUUUUUGACUAGCUUGGGAAUAGGCCAUUAAGCCACAAACUCGACCUUAGAACCAUCCAUAGCCACUAUUCCAUUAGAAAUGACAUGGCUUAGGUACUCAAUCUUUGAAUUCCCAAAGCUAUAAUUGCUUUUCUUGGCAUAGAGUUGAUGAUCUUGAAGCAAAUUAAGAACCUCUUGAAGAUGUGAUAAAUGGUCAGAUCAAGAAGCUAAGUAGACCAAAAUAUCAUUAAAAAAAACAAUGACUGACUUCUUCAACAAUGGCUUAAACAAAAUAUUCAUCAAAGCUUGAAAACUUGAAGAAGCUUUUGUAAGACCAAAAAGCAUAACCAAGAAUUCAUAAUGGGCAUAAUGUGUUCUAAAGGUUGUUUUAUGAAUAUUUGGUUCCCACAUUCAAAUUUGGAGAUAGCCAAACCUCAAGUCCAACUUGGAGAAGAAAAAAACUGACCAAGUUCAUCUAGCAACUCUUGUAUAAUAGGAAUGAGAAAUUUGUCUUCAAUAGUGAGUUGGUUAAGCUAUCUGUAAUCAACAGAAAGCCUCUAACUCUCAUCCUUCUUAUUAACAAUGAUAGUGAGGGAAGCAAACAAGUUGUCACUAUUUUUUAUUAUACCUAGCAGCAACAUCUCUUGAAUCAACUUUUCCGUUUCACUCUUUUGAACAGUAAGAUACAUAUAAGGUUGGUUAUUCACCACCUGACCCUCAUCUUUAAGAGGAAUCUUAUGGUCUUGUAAGCGAGGGGGCAAGCCACCCGGUUCCUAAAAAAUAUCAACAAAUUCUUUCAAGCGCUAUUAUAAAUCUUUUUGAAAGGCCUUAGCAACUACUGAUAAAGUAGUGUGAUCUUGCAUUGCCAUAACCAAAGCACAUGAUCCCAGCUCUUGACCCACAACAAAAAAAAAACAUUUGGAAUACUGUUUGGUAGUCAAAAGUUGAAUGACACCAAGCAUGAUUCCUUGGAAGGCACAAGGACUUCUUUGAUGAAGAAACUACAUAGUCAAUGAAGUAAAUUUCAUUCAAUCGACCUUAGGGAAAAUAACCAUUGAAUCCUCAAAACUAGAUCAUACUCUUUCAAUGGAAGCACCAUGGAAUCAGUAGUAAACUUGUUGCUUUGAGCUUCCCAUGUGACCCCUUUACAUGUUCCAUUAGUGUAGAGUCUACCCCCAUCAUAAAUAGUAACUUUCAACUUAUAUGGUUGCGAGACUAGAAGAGAUAACUUCCUAACUAACUUAGCAUUAAUAAAAUUGUGAAUGCUCCCUAAAUCCACUAAAAUGACCACCCAUGUGUUCCUAAUUUAAGCCGCAAUUGUGAUUUCCAGCACGUGUGACCAAGGGUGUACUUGGCCCCACACCAGAAACACAACCUUUUAUUCUUAUUUUCUUCAAUGUCAACUUGAAAAAAAGGUUUCUGACCGCCACUAGACGUGCAAACGUUUGGACUGGAAAUACUACAACAAAAAUAUAAUUAAUUAACCAGUGAUGUUCGCAAGUAUACAAGUCAAAUUAUAAUAUAAUAAAGUGUUACAACGAAACACUCCCGAAAGUAAAAUUUGUUUUCCACACUAAAAGGGCUAAAUAGUAAUAACCUAAAACUAUAGUAUGAAAAACCAAAUUAAAAUUAAAUAAUCGAAAUAACAUAAAUUAAAGAAAAUUAAAGAAAAGAAAUUAACAAUCGAAAUCAAUCCAAUUAAACAAGCAAAAGAUUAACUCACAUUAGUGGUUCUAAUUAACUUCAAAAUUUAGGUUUUAGCGAGUUGGCUCUUAACUAACUAGUUAUUAUCUUUCGGCCUCUAACUAAUUAACUAAUCGACCAAUACUCACUUAUCUUUUAAUCUCACUUUCUUGACCGGGAUAAAUUAUGAUUUAACCAGUAAACUUAUCUUUCGAUCUCGUUUAUCCUAAAUUACUUCUUAAGGUAGUCAAUCCUAGGAUUUAAUCGCACCUAAUUUAAACUAACUAAUUUAGAAUCAAACCUUAAUUCUUCCAUUAACCAUUCCUACGUCCAAUCAUUAAUCUCCCUAAGGAAAUUAGAAACUCAUGGAUAUAGAUUCAAUUUUCCCUAAUUUCAUAUUCAACAUGCAAAGCAAAUAAUUAAAUAGAAGAAAGGAAUAAGGACAUUGAUCCAUUUCGAUACUGAUCUACACAUGAAAGCUGAAAUUCCUUUGAAAAUUGCAAAGAUAAUCUUGAUUGCAAUUGAAAAAUGAAAAGAAAUUAAUAUAAACUAACUAAAUAAAAACUUGGAUCCAGAUCAAAUCCAAGUUAGAACAAAGAAAAAAAUUAUGUUUUCUAAAGAAAAUGACUAGAUUGAAAAAAAGUAAAACUAAACUAAAAUCUUAAAACUAAUCUAAACUGCUCAGUCGGUUAAGCCUCCUAAAUUAAGGCUAAACAUUCAUAUUUAUAGCCAAAAUGUUCUACCCUAACUAACUCAAUUAACAGCCCUAAGACUGAAUAAUAUGUAUUGUGCAGAUGAAAACACCUCUGACUUAAAAUUCCAGUUUGUCGCUCAGGUGUCGCGACACCAUAGGACUGGUGUCGUGACACAGCAUUGAAAGGGUGACUUAUUUGGCUUCAAAGUGAGGUGUUGCGACAUCACAUGCCAGUGUCGCGAUGCUGUCAUCAUCCUCUGUGUUCUUAGCCCAAAAACAGUGUUAUACAUACUCAAUUGACUUAUUAGCUCUUCCCUAGGCCUGUAUUGGCCUGUUAGGUCAUUACAUGGCCAAAAAAUGCGUAAAAAUGUUUCUUUUACUAAAAUUAAACAUAAAGUAAUAAAAACGGAAAGCAUAAUGAAAUGAUAUAAAAUAGCUGGAAAACAGGCUCGUUAAGUGCCAAAAAAACUCUAAUUUGCCAUAACGAAUUGUGGAAUAUCAAUUUGCUAGCAGUUUUAGAAUUACUCGUAGUAGAAUGAGAUCCAUUGGAGGACUGGGUAGUGCUCAAAGUAAAAGAAGGUUUAGUCAUGGGAAGGACAGUGGGAAAUAAUGUAAGUGGUCUCUAAGAGGCACCAAUGCCAUUAUAAAAUCCCCUUUUCUAGGAAUUAAGCGAAAUCCCCUCAACUUGACUAGUAAUAAAGAAACAUUUCUAUUCAGGACUUGGGUUUAAACAAUUGGAGAUACUGGCUAAUUUUCAAUUUCAAGUUGCUAGCAAAAAUACUAAUAGCAUAUGAUUCAGAGAGUUGUCUUGAGCUACAACACCAACCAUCUUCCCAUCCCAAAUACACCUAGGAUGACAUUUUUUUAGAAGGAAGGGCAAACUAGUUGUGAGCGCUAAUCAUGAUCUUGAACAAGAUCUGUUUCACUACUUCUAUGAUAGUGUUGUAGGAGGACACUCUAGAUUCAUGCCACUAGGCACAAAUUGGCCAGCCUUGUGUAUUGGAAUGGGUAGGCUUGAUAUCAAACAUUGGGUGAAGAUGUAUUGUUUGCCAAAGGUACAAGUAUGAUACCUAACAAGGCCUAGUCUACUAUCAGCAUGGAUUUCAUUGAGGGACUACCUUCUUUAAGGUUAAAGGACACCAUCUUGGUGGUAGUAGACAUGCUUACCAAGUAUGACCACUUUGUAGCCUUGUCCCACCCUUUUCCUCCCUUAAUUAUGGCCCAAGUCUAUCUCGACAACAUUCAUAAGCUUCGUGGCUUACCUGAGUCAAUUAUUUCUGACAGAGACAAGAUUUUCAUUAGCUUUUUUUGGAAGGAACUCUUCAAGAAAUUAGGGACACACUUGCAUCUGUUAACUGCUUACCAUAUUGAAAGAAAUGGUUAGACUAAAGUACUCAACAAAUGUUUGGAAAGCUACCUUUAACGCAUGAUAGAAGAACACCUUGGGGACUAAUGUUGCUGGCUGUCUUUGGCUGAGUGGUGGUAUAAUUCCACUUUUCACUCAACUAUACAAAUGACACUAUAUGAGGCUUUGUAUAGCUAGCCCCUACCUCAACACUUGCCUUACUUGGUAGGCUCCUUCACUAUUGAGUGUGUUGAUCGCAGUCUGCAAUAGCUUGAAGCAGAUAGGAAACUUCUUAAACUCCACCUCAAAAGGGCACAAGACUAAAUAAAGCACUUUGUUGACUGUAUGAGGAGUGACCGCACCUUUCAAGUUGGUGACCUUGUUUACCUUCAUCUUUAACCUUAUAGGCAACACUCUGUUAGGAAAAUAUUGAACCAGAAACUCUUUCCUAAGUUUUUUGGCCCUUUUGCUGUAAAGGACAAAGUUAGGGAAGUGGCCUAUAAGCUCAAGUUGCUUCCUAGUUCUCGAAUACAUCCUACCUUCCAUGUGUCUUAGCUCAAAUGCCAUGUGGAAAAGCAACUAGUUCAAUCGACCUUACCCUUAGUAGGCUUUAAUAGAGCUAUGCUCAAGGAACCGAGCCAUAUCCUUGAUCGACACAUGGUUAAGAGAGGCAAUUAGGUUGUCACAGACGUGCUAGUCGAAUGGGCUAACACCUUCCCUGAUGAUGCUACCUGGGAGGUUCUUUGUGAGCUACAAUAAGAUUUUUCACUUUUGAUCCUUGAGGAAAAUGAUCCAUUCGACUGGGGAGACUACUUUUAUUUUUGUUAAUUCAGUUGUUUAAACACAACGUUUAGAAUCUAGUAUUAAGUGAAACAAUUAGUUUCGUUUUAAAGGUCGAAAUGGUGCGUUGAAAGCUAAGGUAUGGGGUAUUUGCUGUUUAAUUGAAACUGUGCAUUUUGAGUCUCAACUGUCAUUGUAACAACCAUAAUUGAUUUUCAAUUUCCCUAUAACGUCUUCCUUGUCUUUUUAGCAGAGAGAACAGCCAGAAAAUACUUAGUCAAUUUGUUAGUAAAUGAAAUUCUCGUCUCUCUUCUUCUCUUCUAUUCUUUGUUUCUCUCUUCUCAACUCAUCUCUUUAGAUUUAUGGGAAUCGAUCAUAUCAAAUUCUACUUAUGAACCCAUUGUUUCCCUUUUGAUUCAAUGGUUCUAGGGCACUCAUAAGGGCUCUUUUAGAUUCACAAUCCGAGUGCUCUUGUUGCUUCAUUAAUGAGUUAUUAUUAAAAAUGUUUCCUAAUGUUACCAUCAAGACCCAUAUGCAAGUCCUCGACUCUUACCCCAUCAAAAGCUAUAAUAUUUUUUUCGAUUCAAAAGCAAGAUGCUUUAAAGAAGACAAAAAACUAUUCAAGAAAAAAGUUCCAUCGAUUGAAACUCCCAUCGCUUGAAUAAAAUAGGAAGUAGAAAGUCCAAAAAAAUCAGGGAAGGAAGAAACUGCUGGAACCACUAUCGGAGAAGGUGACCGGAAGAGUGGCGGCGACAAAUUGACGGUAACAAACUCUAGAAGGAUGAAGAGAGACUUGGGGGUUAUUAGGGGUGUGCAUAAUUCGAGUAAAACUGAAAAAAUUCGGUUAACCGAUCGAAUUCGGUUAAUCGGUCGGUUAACCGAAUUUUUUCUGUCGGGGGUCGGUUAAUUUUUUUUAUAUUUUUGGUUAACGGUUAAAUCGGUUCGAAACCGGUCGGUUAACCGAUUUUUUUCGGUUAAAUCGAAAAAAUUAAUAAACCUAAUUACCCAACCCAAUUACCAUUUACCAACCCAAUAAACUAAAGUCUACCCAAACCCAAUUACCAUUUACCAACCCAAUAAAACAAACAGCUGAAAAUUACUAAAAGUUUAAAACCCUAAAACUAAAACAGAACAACUAAUAGCCUGCUGCCCUGCUCCGGUGCUCCACCUACUGCUCCCUGCUGCUGCCUUGCCAUUCAGGAUUUCUUGUUGUUCCCUUGCAUUAGCCAUUAGGUUGUUUUUUAAUGGUUUUCUUGCUGUUCAUUGGGUUGUUUUACGAUUCUUAGUUUCAGUAUUUCCCUUGGAUACUCUCUAUCCAUGUUAUCUGAACUUUUUAUUUAGCUUCAAGUAUGUGUUAGAUACAUGUGUGGAACAUAUUCAGGCGUGUUGGACUAUUUAUUUUACUGAUAUAUAUAUAUCGAUCCGUUUUUCGAAUCCAUUAAAGAUUGAGACUUUUUAUUUAGCUGUUCAAACUUUUUGUUUUAAUUUUCAACUUUGACAUUUUCUUUUUACUGCACUUUUCUAAUUCCUUCUUUUCCUAAAUUAACCCCAAGUUACUGUCUUUUCUAGAAUAUUCGCUAGGGUUGAAGAUGAAAUAUGACAAUAUUUGCUGGGGUUAAUCGGUUAAUCGGUUAAAUCGGUUAAUCGGUUAAUCUUUAACCAAAAAUAGAAAUCAUAUGAUUUUCGAUUAAUACGGUUAACCGACCGGUUUAACCGAAAAAUUUUUGGUUCGGUUAAUUUUUUUUAAAAAAAUUCGGUUCGGUUAACGGUUAAAAUAUUUUGAAGGUCGAUUAAUUCGGUUAUAGCUAUUUCGGGUCGGUUAACAGAAUGCACACCCCUAGGGGUUAUCCCAUGAGGAGAGAAUUUUUAAAAUAAAAUUUUGUGAAAAAGGAAUUUUAGUUAUUUAAGUUAAGGUGCUUAGCAUAUUUUGAAAUUAAUUUUUUUUUGACAAAAAUGACACGUAGCACUUUACAAUUGUGCAACAUGUCUUGACAAGUCGUAAUUUAACAUCGUUAGAUGGAGGUGCCAGAUUAAUAAACAUAAAUUAAUGUAAAAAUAUCACAUUAAAUAUUUUGAAAGUAAAGAUAUCACGUUUAUAAAUUUAAUAAAGUAUAGGGGUGAAUUUUGCUAUUAACACUUAAAGAAACCAUGCAUGAAAGUAAUUAGGCUUCCUGAGACUAGUAUAGUUUUAGUUAAUUCGUGAUAUUAAUGGUGCAUUUGAAAAGUCACCUAGUAAAUAGAUGUGGGUGUAAUUGCAUUUUUAUCUAAAUUUAAUAAAUUAUUUUUAUACAAUAAUAAUAUUUUAAUUUUAGAAUAUGUGUUUUACUUUUAAAAUAUAUUUAUAUGUUAUUUUAUUAAUCUUAUUUAAACAAUUUGAAUUUUUUAUUGACGAGUGAUGAGUUUUUAUACAUUUUGACUUACACAAUUACAGGUUUUUUGAUCUAAUCUACUCUUUUUGACACAAUGUUUUGAACUACUCAUAACCCCUUCUAACCUAUAAAUAGGAGGAUAAUACGUUUCAGCGUACUCAAACCUACUUCCUCUUGUAUUGACAACAAUAUCAGUCCCAAUUGAGAUAAAAUUCAAUCAACUCAUAAACCUCUUCCAACCUAUAAAUAGUAGGAUAAUGCGCUUCAGCUCACUCAAAAUCACUUCCUCCUGCAUUGAGAGCAAUGUCCAUACCAAUUGAAUUAAAACUCAAUCGACUAUUGUUGAAUAGCUUUUUGUAGGGGUGAGCAAAACUCGAUUCGACUCGAAAAAAUCGAAAAAAUUUUUAAAUUUCGAGUUAAACGAAUCGAGUUAUUCGAGUUAAUCGAGUUAUUCGAAUCAACUCGAAUUUUUUUUUCAAAUUUCAAGUUCGAAUCGAGUUGAGUUUUCGAAUUCGAAUAACUCGAAUAAUUCGAAUAAUUUGAAUAUCAAACUAUAAUAUAUUACAUUUUUACCCCAAACUCCCAAACAUUUUUACUUUUCCCUCAAAACUUUUACUCCCCUCCCCUCCCAACCCCCUAAUCUACCCAAAAUCCAUUUCUCACCAAAAUUUUACUCUCCCAUUUAUUUUUUCUCAAAAUUUUACUCCCAAAAACCCUAAAAACCUUUUAUUUUCCCCCAAAAUUUUUACUCCCUUCCACUUUUCACCUAAAACUUUUAUUCCCUUCCCAUCUCACCUCCCAUCUACCCCAAACCCUCCCCCCUCCAAUUUUUUUUUAAAUAUUUUCCCUCCAAAAUUUUACUUCCCCUAUUUACUUUCCCUCAAACUUUUAUUCCCCAAAACUUUUUGUUUUCCCCCUAAACUUUUACUUCUCACCCUUUAUUCUCAAAUAAAAAAUCAAAAUUAUCCAAAAAAAAAUCACUAAACAUAAAUAAUAAUAAUUUUAUUUAUAUCUACUAUUUAUAUUAUUAAAUUAAAUUUCACAUUUUAUAUUAUUUAUAUUGUUGAAUUGUUUAGUCAUAUUGAAUAUUUAUAUUAAAAUUGAAUUAUUAAUUAUGCCAUAAAAUAUUCGUGUUAAAAUUUUAUAUUGGUAUCAAUUUCACAUUUUAUUUUUAAAAUAAAUUUUAUUAAAAAAUCAUAUUUUUACAUUUAAUAUAUUUUUUAAUUCCAAAAUACAUAGUGACAAGAAUCUGAAGAUAAUUGAAAUAACUAAGCAAGCAAAUAAGCUAACCAGUAUAUAAAAAAUUAAUAAAUAAAUUAUGAGGUGAUGAAAGUUAAUAAAAAAUUUGAUUAAGGUGGACAAAUUUUAUUACAAUGGGUGACAGUGGUUACAAGGAUCCAAAAUUAUUUUUUAAAAUUUAACUCGGACAAAUAUAUUCGAUUCGAUUCGAUUCGAAUUCCAUCUCACUCGACUCGAUUCGAGAAAAUUUCAAAUCAAAUUAGGAUGAUAAAAUAUGAUUCGUCAACUCGCUUAACUCGAAAUUUUUUUAUUCGAUUCGAUUCGAUUCGAUUCGAUUCGAUUCGAUCGAACGCUCACCCCUAGCUUUUUGGACUAACAUAUUACACACAAUUAUUUGGUUUUAAGUUUUGUUAUUUGAAUAUUAUUGGUAAUUUUUUUUUAUAAUAAUCAAUAUUAUUUUUUAAAGUUUAAAAUUAUGCGGGUAUUAUUUUAAAAACAAAAAAAAUUAUGAUAUAAUUACAUUAAACAUUUCUAAACAAUUAUUUUUUUAAUUAUGAAAAAUGAAAUUACUUAAAUUAUUUUAUGGAGUUCAAACAAUCACUGAUGUCAAUAUAUAUAUUUAUACUUGAAUUAUUGGUAUUUUCACUGUUUUGAGAAUAGGAUGGAAAGUUGGUUUAGAAUAAGAGAUUAAAUAGAUUGAUUUGUGAAUCAAUUCCACUGAUAAUUAAAUUGAUUUUCUUUUUCUUUUUAUAAUUUUUAAUGAUUUAUUUAAUUAAAUUGGAUGGGUAAAAAAAAAAAACUGAUGGUUUACUCAAUUUCACCAUCAGCUGGGUUCUAAGGAUCUUACGGAUAUUACCCCGAGACUGAUCCAUUUUGUAGUUAUUAUCCUUCCCUUUCUCCACAGCCUCCCCCGACUACUGAACUGAAACAAAAACAAGUCUGAGGCUCACAGAAGUAACAAUGUCAGCUUUGAGGUUUAGCUCACGCUUUAACCCAAUGUUAUCAAACAUAAUCCUUGUUCAAACCAAAUCAUUAUUAUUCAGUUUCUCUUCCUUCUCCUCAUCAGUCAGAAAACCUUGUAAGACUCUUUGUUGCUCUUCCAGCUCUCCACUUUCUGGUAUUUACUAUUACUAUUGUUGAUAUUUGCUGCUUUUUGGAUGUGAAAUUUAAAUCAAAGGACUUAUCUUUCGUGAUACAAUUUCAGGGUUAGAGGAUGAGUUGGUUGGUUAUAUUUUUGGGAAGAAGAAAGCAACAGAAGUGGCUCAUUUGUAGGUACUUAACUACCCUUUUUUGUUUUCUUUCUCUAUUUCUCUGAUCCCUUUUAAUUUUUUAAUGUAAUGUUUAAAACUGUACUCUAUCUGCUACUAUAUAUCCUGUGGUUAAUCGGGACUGUUGGACCUUUUAGGUUUCCUAGAACAUUAUUGUAAAUUCGAUGUCUUUGUUAUAAAUGUUGGUGGUUUACAUGCCGGGAAACUGUGUAAACUGAAGCAGCUUCUUGUUCUUGAUGUUAUAUUGAUAGUAAUAAAGGUAUGGCCAGAAUUUAGUGAUACUAUAUCAAGAAGUGCGAAUGGGAAUUCAGUGCUCGUGGGGUAUAAAUGUUGAAAUUGAUAAAAAAAAAAUUUAUAUGGUGUCAAUAGGAAUUUGACGUUCUUCCUGAAAUAUAUCUUUUUUUCUUCAGCAUCCUUUCUUCCAAUUUUUCCCCUUCAAGUUUGCACUGAUUUUGAACUGCAUGAUCUAAUUUUACUUGGACCUGAGAAGCCUGUUUCUGAUCCAAGCCCUCUUGUGCUAUUUCCUUAGCAAUUAAGUUUUGGUCUUUGUUGUUUAUACUAAGGAUGCUAAUUUUUUUUUAUAUAUCAUGAAAUCUUUCAUGGUAAAUUUCCAUAUACUUCUCAGCAAUGGUGCUCAACUUCGAAUACAUAUUUCUUUUAAAUAAUGUUAUUUCCAAUACUGGCCAGGGUUUGGAGGCAUGUCUUGCAUAAAGGGGAUAUUGUCAUAGAUGCCACAUGUGGGAAUGGUUAUGAUACCGUAGCAAUGCUUAAAAUGGUUGCUGAUGAAUCUGGUCAUGGUCGUGUUUAUGGAAUGGACAUUCAAACAGAGGCUUUAGAGAAUACUUCUUCCUUACUGGAUGAAACUGUCACUCAGAAAGAGGUUCUUCUUGAUUUCUUUUCAACAUUGUCUUCUUUAUCAUAAAAGGUUCAAAGAGAUAGUAAAUUUUAAUUACUGCAAGGAUAACCUACCCAGAAUUUACACUGCGUUUGAAAUUUUAACCUUAAGAUUCAGAAUGCCUAGUUAUUGGUGUAGAGGUUUAACUUAUAGUUCUAUGUGUUUGAACCAGCAUGCUGCUUAACUCAAUAAUAAUAGCCAUUACAGUCUAUUAUUCAGCAAUUCAAGGUCAUUUGACUUGUCUUGUCAUUCGAGAUUUACUGUAUAGUUACCUUUAUUGGUCUUCUGGAUAGAACAUAUGUUUGAUUAUUACGCUUGUAAAGUUACCUGUGUUACAUGUAAUUUCUAAUAAAUUUCUGACUUAUGCAGAAAGAACUAGUCAAGCUCUUCCCCAUUUGCCAUAGUAGAAUGGAUGAAGUGCUUCCUGAAAAUACUGCCGUUAGGUACACAUUAGUGCUCAAGUUUCUCUCUCUCUCUCUCUCUCUCUCUCUCUCUCUCUCUCUCACACAUAUCUAAUUAUAUGAAAAAUGUGGAUUUAUUGGAUAUUGAUGCUGCUGAAUAUUGUAUUGCAUUUUCUUUUGGCAUAUAGAUAAAUUUCCUCGAACUUUCAAAAUGGAGAAAAAAUAGACAAACAGACCUUGCUCCUUUAGUUUAGUUUUUGAAGCAAUUUUGGUACUUUCGUCCUCUCUAUCCCUUGGCCUUGUCUUCUGAUCCAAGAAGGAUAAUUCGCUUUGUUUCUCAUGCUAAUAUGUAUUGUUUUCGUUGGGAAGUUUAUUCUGCUAUUUCCCUCAGAAGUAAUAAAUAAAUAGCCAAACCAACCAAUACAAGUAAUAAGCGUAUUAGUAAUUUUGUCAAAUCAUGGUACCAUUUUAGUAUUUGUUUUUGUCUCAUCUCAAAACUAUCAAAGAUUCUACAUCCAUUAAGCACCCCUGCGCCUUUAUGUCUUGAAAACUUUAGGUGUCUAUGAACAACAAUGUGCAACAAAGUCACUUGCUCAAUAUCUCUAAAAAGGAACUCCCAAAAAGUUUUUGUUUCUUGUGAUAUUUUGUCAGUUUCCUUUUCUUCGUUCUUGACCACUAGUUACAACUUACAAUAUGGGUAUAAUUACUAUUAGCAUCCUUUAAAGCUAGAAGUGAUGUUCUGCUCCUACAGAACUAACUUUAUAAAUAUUAAUAGAUGUCUAUUGUUACCUAAUUGUUUGUUUUGGCUUCACUGCUUGUUGAUGCCUUAAUAAGGCAAAAUAAGAAAUUUCCAUUUUAGUGUAUAGUUGGAAAUGCUUGCGAGGUCAAAUUAUGAUGCUUCUAUAUCGUAAACUCUGAACUAUUAACUUUUCAUGGUUAAAGGGAUAGAUACAGGACAAAUAUAACUAAUCAUCUAAUACAUAACCUUGUUAUCUUGUACUCCACGUGUAGAAAAUUGUAAUAUCCAUGUAUUUCUAUUAUUUGGUGACUGUAAUUCCAUUCUUUUCCAUGUUGCUUUAUUAUAUAUUUUUUUUUCUAAAGUUUCAAAUUUUAACUCAAAAUGAAAAAGGUGUAGAAUCUAUUUUGUUUGAAAAAAAAGAGGUUCAUCAGUAAAUGUGGCAAAAUCUGCAAUGCCAAAUUAUAAUUCAUCAGAACACUUAUUAACAGCAUUGUGUAUUCAUAACCACAUUGAUGUUUCAGGGGCACUGGAGGAUUUUUUUCCCAACAUUAGUCUUAAUUAUUGAUUUGCUAUUAAUAAACAAUGAUUUGAAUAAAUUAUACUCUUUUUAUGUCUCUUGUAUGUGCCAAUUCCAGACUAUACAGGAAUAAUACCCUUUGAACUUCAUUGAAACUGAAGAUAAGUCAUCGAUCUUUUAUUGCUUGGGAUUAAGACUAUGAACUUCAAUUUUAUUAUAAUUAGAACCUUGAUGCCAUAAACUAUUCAAUCUUUUGUUAAAUUGGAUGAUAUAUGACAAAUAUUUGAAAGAAUAUUAUUCUAAGAAUUCGAGCAAUUGGACUUUAUGAAUGUAGUUCUAAGAUAUAAUAAUUGCAAUGAAAUCUUAAUUUCACGCAGUAAAAGAUUGAGUGCAUAUUUCUAUUUUUGACUAAAAUUUAGAGUUUGUUUGAGCAUUAUUCCUUCUGUUUAUGAGAAUAUACAAAAAUGUAUUUAACUGAUCAUUAUAGUUGCCAGACCAUGAUUGAAAGUGCUUGAAUGUCUUAGAAAAUGGGAAGUUAUAUAUCAUUCACUUGAUUGGAGUGGAACCACGGAACAAACAAGUGAUUCAAUUCUACAUGGCUCUCAUUUGGCUUUUAUGUUCAUUAUUAUUAGUCUGUCUGGUGGCUUCAUCAUAUUUUACAUGAAGCCUUGUUAAUAUAUAUAUGCGCUUUUUAAUCACAUUGGGAUAGCAUUAAUUCCUUGUUUGCUUUUAGACUUGUUGCAUUCAACCUAGGCUACCUUCCUGGAGGUGACAAAGGUAUUAUUACGACGUCGAAAACAACACUUUUGGCCUUGGAAGCCUCGAAGAAAAUGCUGAUAUUGGGAGGGCUUAUUAGCCUAGUGGUUUAUGUGGGACAUCCUGGUGGAAGGUAAAUUUUGUCCAAUUGACUCAUUCUAUUGUCAUGGUUGCGAUUUUGCUGAUAUUAUUUUGCAUUGAGGCUCAGAGAUUGGUGAAUUAAUAACUUUGUAUGGGACAACCCUUGCUUAAUCUAGUGGCUGUUACCCUCAAUAGAACAUUUAAGGUCCCAGAUUCAAUGACCUCCAUGGUGGUUGGAACCUGGACCUGCUGGUUGAACCAAAAAUCAGUGGUCCAACCAGUCACAAAAAACGGAGGAAGGUUGAACCGGCACAAAACCGGUUGAACAAGUUAAAAACCAGUUAAAACAUUUGAACCGGAUUUAAAUUAAUUUAAAUAUUUAAUUUUAUAAUUUAUAAAAUGAAUGUUUAUAUUUCUAUUAUUAUUUAUUUACAUUUAUUAAUUUCUUCCUUAUUUUUUAUGAUCAUUUCCUAAUUUUUUUUGAAUUUUUUAAAUUUAAAAUGGUUGAACCGGAAACCGAUGGCCUGACUGGUGUGACCACUGGUCUGGUUCUUAAAAACAUUGAUUACCUCUCUGCCUUUGGCCUUUCUCAUGUAUAUCAAAAAAGAAGUUCGUCUUUGACUGCUGUUUUUGGUCAUCCUGCAGCUUACUUGUAGAAGCGGCAUUAGAAUUUGCUAAUAUAAUUUUCACCAGUUUUUGGUAUAUUAUUGAAUUAGCUAAUAAAUAACCUACAGAUAGUUUAUGAGUCUUAUCCAUCCAACUUGAUCGAAAAUACUUGGCAUUGCUCAUUUUACAUUAGACUUAAUUCUCAGGGAAGAAUUGGAAACAGUUGAAGCCUUUGCUUCAGGAUUAUGUGUUGAUGGUUGGAUAUGCUGCAAGUUCCAGAUGUUGAACCGACCUUUAGCUCCAGUACUUGUUUUCAUAUUCAAGAGAUGAAUCAGCGGAUUGAUUCCAAAAUGUAGCAUUAUUUGUACUUUCUGGGUAUACUAUAAAUUCCUGGAAAGUUUGUUUACUUGUAUAAAAAUUCAUUUAUGAAUACAGGCUGCCAUUAACUAGCUUGAGAAUAUAAUCUUAGAAACUUGAAACAGCUUUGUACUUGUUUUUCUGUGCUUUUUCUUCUUGUUGGUUGGUUUCGGGGUUUUUUUGUCAAUGAAAAGGAUAGUGAACUCAAGGCCAGAGCUUAGCUCAGCUAGUUAACUAGGGUAGACAUUCAAAGCAUGUUUAAUAAAAGAUACCUUUGGCUACAUCAUUUAAAUUUCAACCAUAUUGACAUUUUUCAUAAACUAUCGUUUCAUGAUCUAGUGUUUUGUUUUGGGUACGGAUCUUAGCAUGGGGAUAAAAGAAAGAUUGCAGAGGUUGGAUUUCAAAGUUAAGAAGUAUUAAAUAUCACUUCAAAGGUGGUUGUAUGAACCAAGUAUUUGUUUGUAUAUUAAGUAUUAGCAAUCUCAACUUGGAACGCUUCAGGUUAGGGGUGAGCAAAACUCGAUUCAACUCGAGUUUUUUUUUUCACAUUUCGAGUUCGAAUCGAGUUGAGUUUUCGCAUUCGAAUAAUUCGAAUAAUUCGAAUAUCAAACCAUAAUAUAUUACAUUUUUACCCCAAAUUCUUAAAAUUUUUUAUUUUUUCCUCAAAACUUUUACUCCACUCCCUUCCCAACCCCCGAAUCUAUCCAAAAUCUAUUUCCCACCAAAAUUUUACUCUCCCAUUUACUUUUUUUUUUUAAAUUUUACUCUCAAAAACCCUCAAAACCUUUUAUUUUCCCCCAAAAUUUUUACUCCCUCUCACUUUUCCCCUAAAACUUUUAUUCUCUUCCCAUCUCACCUCUCAUCUACCCCAAACCUUCAGCCCUCCAAUUUUGUUUUAAUAUUUUCCCUCCAAAAUUUUACUCCCCCUAUUUACUUUCCCUCAAAACUUUUAUUCCCAAAAUUUUUUUAUUUUCCCCCUAAGCUUUUACUUCUCACCCUUUAUUCUCAAAUAAAAAUUAAAAUUAUCCAAAAAAAAUCACUAAACAUAAAUAGUAAUAAUUUUAUUUAUAUCUACUAUUUAUAUUAUUAAAUUAAAUUUCAUAUGUUAUAUUAUUUAUAUUAUUGAAUUGUUUAGUCAUAUUGAAUAUUUAUAUUAAAAUUGAAUUAUUAAUUAUGCCAUAAAAUAUUCGUGUUAAAAUUUUAUAUUGAUAUCAAUUUCACAUUUUAUUUUUAAAAUAACUUUUAUUAAAAAAUCAUAUUUUUACAUUUAAUAUUUUUUUUAAUUCCAAAAUACAUAGUGACAAAAUCUGAAGAUAAUUGAAACAACUAAGCAAGCAAAGAAGCUAACCAGUAUAUAAAAAAUUAAUAAAUAAAUUAUGAGGUGAUGAAAGUUAAUAAAAAAAUUGAUUAAGGUGGACAAAUUUUAUUACGAUGGGUGACAGUGGUUACAAGGACCCAAAAUUAUUUUUUAAAAUUUAACUCGAACAAAUAUAUUCGAUUCGAUUCGAUUCGAUUCGAAUUCCAUCUCACUCGAUUCGAGAAAAUUUCAACUCAAAUUAGGAUGAUAAAAUAUGAUUCGUCAACUUGAUUAACUCGAAACUUUUUUAUUUGAUUCGAUUCGAUCAAACGCUCACCCCUACUUCAGGUAUGGACUCUGUAAUAGCCUAAUUUUGCCCGGGCCCAAAAUAAAACCAAAAUAAUAAAGAGUCUAGACAGUCCAUUUACAAGGAAAAUGACCCAUUACACAUCAAACCCAAAUUAAACCCAAACAGCCCAAAACUAAACAAGCCCACAAACUUAAAAAUUUUCAGCAAAAAAAGACCUUAGCCACAUGCAGCCGCCGCCCUCCAACCUAAGCGUGGCCUCCUCGCACACUUGCACCGCUCGCCAAUCGUCGGCCUCUGCCGCACGCCACCUCCUCCACGCGUUUGACGCUUCUCAAUCCCUAUAAAACAACAAACAACACGCAACAAUAGAGAAGAAGCCAAACAGAAGCAGACAAAAGAAACAAACAAAACCAUAGAAAUAGAGAGUUGUUCAAUCGGCUAUAAAAGCCUAAAUCUAAUGCUUGUAGCUCUCUCCUGUUUUUUUUUCGAAGAUUGAAAAAUAAUAAAACAAAAAAAUUUAAGGUGACUACUGUUUUUAUUUUUAAUUUUAAUUUGUUAAUUUGUUUUUUAUUUUACUUUAUUUUUUAUCUAGGAAAAUAACCAAAAAAAACGAAAAGAGAAACGUACCUGAUUCACCCCGUGGCUCCUUCGACGAAAGUCCCUUCGCCGUCGUCGGAAUCGGGCUUAAAAAGGAAAGGUUUUUAUUUUUCUUUGCUUUUUUUGGAUUUUUCAUCUCAAGAAACGGACUAAGGGAGGAGAAAUGGCAAAAAUGGCCAUUCUCCGAUGAACUUCAGCAACCGCAUGCGGCGGUCGACGGCGCCGGUGCUCGGUGGCUGCUGUGGCCCCAUGGCUGGUCGUUGGAGGUUGUUUUUUGAGAGAGAGAGAGAGUUGAGAGAAAAGGAGAUUUUUUUCUGAAAUUUCAAAAAAAAAAAGAAACAGAAUGAGAAUGAGAAUGAGAAUUUCAAAAAAUUGGCCUUUAUAAAUUCUGUUAAACGACGCUGUUUUGUGGAGUAAGUUCAGAGCCCAAAACGACGCCGUUUUGGACCUCUGACCCGCGACCCAAACCGCUACAUGGCUAGGAUCUGCGUGUUUUGCUUGGAGGGGCUAAUUGCAUGUUCAGCCCCUCCGCUUUUGCAGCAUAGCGCAAUCUGAUCCUUUUUAGUUUUUUUAUUUGGGUUGCGAUUUUUGUUGUUAUUUCAAAUUGGUCCUUGGACCAUGUGCAGACCCUCCAUUAAAGUGUUGCGUUUUAGGACAGGGGAAUAUUUCCCAGAUGGUCCCCCACGCUUUGAGAGCGUCUUAUUUCAGUCCCCUGUAACCUGUUUGUAAAUUUGCAAUUAAAGCCCCGAAUUUUAAUUCCAUUUCAACCUCGUCCUCAGUCCAUUUAGUUUAUUUAUUUUUAAAUAAUACUCUUUUAUCAUGAUUUAUUUUAAAAUGGUUAUAUUUAUUAUUUAUUUGAAACUAUUUGACAUUAAGUUUAUUUAAAUUUUAUUUGUAUAUUAUUUAUUGUAAGCUCAUGUUGUGUAUCUUCCAAAUUUUUUGUACGUAUAUAUUUUAAAAUUAUCUCGCAUGUUUUUUUUAUGUAUUAUUUAUUUUUUUAAUUAUAUUCAUUGUUAUUUAUUUGUAGUUUUUUUUAUUUCUGUUUAUUUGGAUUGUUUAUCAUUUGUUUUGAGGCUCUUUAAAUCAUUCAUUUUGAGUUAUUAUUUUCUUAAUUGAUUUAUGUAUUGUUUCGUUUUGUUCAUUUUGGUUAUUGAUAUUUGUAUUCGAUGUAUGGUGUAAUUAUUGUCAUUAUGUGUAUUAAUUCAUUUAUUCGUAUUUUCGUGCUAUGGUAAUUCAUUCGUGUACCCCAUUGUUCGAAAAAUUGUUUCUCCAUGUUGGAAAUUGUCAUUCCAUCAACGUAACCCCUUUUUCACACACUAUUUCAAACGUUACAUUUAUUUUUACCCAAACAUACAAAAAUAAAAUUUUCAAAAUAAGACAAUAUUUUGUGUAUUGGCGAUUCGAGAAAAUUGUAUCCUAACUUACUGGGUUUCGAUUUCUCGUUUAACCUAAAUGGCAAAAUAUCUUUUUAAAUUAUGACUUUUGAAUAAGCAAAAUUUCGUGUUUAGAUUCGAGAAGGUUGUACCCUAACUUACGGGGUUUCGAGUUUCGCGAUAAAUCUAAAUAUACGAAUCUUUUCAAACAUAAGUUUUUUUAUAAUCUCGGGAAUUAAUAAAAGACCGUGUUCUAACUUACAGAGUAUGGUCUUUUCUAAAAUCGAGAGAAUCGAAUGUCUUUCAAAUAAGUAAAUUUUUCGGCAUGUAUUCUCGUAUCGGGAAUUCGAUACGUUGUGUCCUAACGCAUUGGAUGUGACAUGUUAUUUUCUCGAUAUGAGAAUUUUUUAAAAAAUAAUAAAAGUAAUAUUUUGCAUUUGGAAAUUCGAGAAAAUGUGCCCUAACGUGCUGGGUUUCGAUUUCUCGUUUGACCAAAUAGCCAAAUAUCCUCUUAAAAUUUCAAAGUAUGGGUUUUUGAAACCAUAAGGUGAUCUUGGUUUCGAUGGUUUAAAGUAUCGUGUCCUAACGUGCUGGAUGUGAUAUUCCUUCGGAACAAGAGAAUCUUAAAUUUCAAUCCAUGUUAUUCGAGUUUUUUUUAAGGAUCGUAUUUUUAGAACUCUUCAAAGUUUUCAAUUAUCGACACUAAGACACUAAUUAAUCAACUAGGUACCAAUUUUUGGGCGUUACGAGGGUGCUAAUCCUUCCUCGUACAUAACCGAUUCCCGAACCUAUUUUUCUGAAUUUCGCAGACCCAAAGCGUUGUUUUAAUAAAUCUAAACCGUUUAUUAAAAACAACCAUUUUUUGAGGUGACCCGAUCACACCUCAUCAAUAAAAGAUUGGUGGCGACCCCCAUGUUCAUUUUUGUUUUCAAAAUCCAAGUCGACCAUUUUUAUCAAAAAAUGGUGUCAACAGCUUGGCGACUCCGCUGGGGAUGUAAAAUAAGAGAGUCAAGCCACGAGUUGAUUAAUUUUUGUCUUUUUGUCAAAAAUUGAAAAUUUGGUUUAAAUGUAUGAUCCUUUCAUUGCAUUUUGUCCGUCCUUUUUGUGGUCUUUAAUAUGUUUACUUUUUUUCAAGCCUUUUGAUAUUUCUGCACAUUGCAUUGCAUGACCGUAGGUCACACCCUUUUAAGUGGGAGUGAGAAACUAGUCCUUCGUGAGGUUUUCACCUCCGUGCAGGAUAGUGGAUCGCUUUCGGGAUACAUCUGUACCUAUGUCUUCGUGAGAUUUUCACCUCCGUGCAGCCAUAGGGAAAUGUAUUCCCAUGAACUGAACUCGAUCCAUAUGAGCCUAUAAUGGGUGAGGAUCGAGGAAUCUGCCGGUUCGGGUACCUUUACUUUAGAACCAAACCGUAUAUAGUGAGCCCUAAGAACCUACCCUAGGUAGAACCACGCGAAACCUUAGUGGUCACCCGAAUAGGUGCUCUAUUUGUUUCUUUCUUGCUUACUUUUGCUUUGUACUAACCCGUUUCGUUUUGUUUCAGUUAUGAUUGCAUUGCAUUGCCAUGCAUUUUUCAUCAAAUAGAAAAGAGGUGUUGAUUCACGUUCAAGUAUCUAAAUAGAGAGCUUGUCAUAAGAAAAUGAGUUUCUUGAUAAAAUGGAAGACAAUGCGGUCGUCCGAAUAUGGUAUGAGAAAACGUAACGAGGUAAAGGUGAUAGUUGAUGAAUGAGUACACGACUUUGCCUCGUUGCCCAAAGACUUAAGCUGACAAAGACUAUUCAAGAGCCACUAAUGCCAACUUUCUUAAAGAAGCCCAUCACGAGGAUGAGUGAACAAUGGGUCGUGGCUCAGAUCAAGCAAAAGGGAGAUCGAAGAGGCACCUCUUUGGAGAGUUCGCGAGAUUCGAUCUUAGCAUUUGGAUAUGAAUAAAAAGAUCGAUGUCUUCGCCUGAAAUAUGAGGGCAAAGCCGCAUAUGUGAUCCAUUUUAUGUAAAGAAAUUUCUUUUCUAGAAAAGUUGUUCUAAUGGAAUUGAAUUCAGAAUCAAUGCCUCUCUUUCUUUUUGCAUUCAUUCAUGCAUAAACAUUACAUUUCAUUGCAUACAAUAAAUUUCCUAAAAUCUAAAAGUACGUCGAGUUUAGAACUUUAGUACAGAGCCAGAUGGAUGAUAAAGAAUUAAAAUUCUUUGAAGAUAUCGAUGAUAUGGAAAGGAAAGAUGUUUGUGCCUUUGAAGAAGAAACUAAAAAAUAUCAGGAAUUUAUUUCUAUAUCCCUGGAGGCGUUCUGAACAACGGGACUGUGGAGAAGAUUCUUGUAGUUUUUAAGAUCAUUUCAGAGUAAUAUUUAGAACACUCUUAUUGCUCUAAGCUUGGGAGUAGUAGAAAAUUCUUUUGUGAAAAAGGCACAUGUCCACUUUUUUUUAUUUCAAUGAAAUGUAUCUUUGUGUUUUGUCUUGGCAAACAUUCUUUUGUUCCUUCCAUUUCAUUCAUACUCAUACCAUACAGAUAAUUAUCCUUUGAUUCAUUAGCUCUUUGAGUAUUCCUUCAUCCCUAGAAUAGGUCUCUAGAUAUCAAUGAUAUGAGUGACACUGCUAUUGACUCAGAACCUCCUUUUGAGUAAGAUAUGUGUCCAGAGAAACCUCAGGACUUUGAAGACGACCAAGACUGUAGUUUAUCUCCUGAUUUGUUAAGGAUGGUAGAACAAGUUGAGAAACAGAUCCUACCUUACAAAAAAAUCAGUGGAAAUUGUGAGCUUAGGAAAAAAGAAAGAGGUGAAGAUAGGAACAUGUAUCACUGCAAAGACAAAGCGAGAUGUUAUUGAGUUACUUCAAGAAUUCAAAGAUGUUUUCGUAUAAUCAAGAUAUGCCUGAGCUACUAAGACGUGUGGACGCUGUUGAGGCUAAGAAAUAUUGAAAAAGGUCCAUAAGGGUGUCUGAGGAACACAUGCAUUGAUUUUUCAAUGGCCAAGCUGCUGGUCCACCAUGGAAGGAGAUUGCAUCAGUUAUACCAAUAAAUGCAUAAGUGCCAAAUUUAUGGAGACAAGAUUCAUGUGCCUCCUUCAUCUCUUCACGUUAUAACUUUCCCAUAGACUUUCUCUAUGUGGGGCAUGGAUGUUAUUGGGUCAAUCUCUCCAAAAGCUUAUAGGGGUCAUCAAUUCAUUUGUGUGGUCAUCGAUUACUCCACUAAGUGGGUAGAAGCCGCUUCAUAUGCCAAUGUCACAAAGCUGACAGUCAGUAAAUUCUUGAAAAAAAGAAAUCAUAUGUAGUAUGGAAUGUCAAAAAGGGAUCAUAUUAGACUAUGUAUUGAAUUUGAACAACGACACGACAUCAAAAGUUUGCAGUCCGUUCAAUAUUAACACCAUGUAGCCCCAAAAUGAACGGUAAAAAAAAAACAAAAAAAAAAAAACAAAAAAACCUCUACCGGAGCAACUUAUUUCUCAUCGGUAUAUGGAAUAGAGGCAGUUUUACCCAUCGAAGUCGAUAUUCCUUCCCUUCGAGUCUUGUCAGAGCUAAAGUUGGAUGAAGCAGAAUGGAUUCAGGCCCGAUAUGAUCAGUUAAAUUUGAUUGAAGAGAAAAGGUUGAAAGCUAUCCGUCAUGGUCAAAUGUACCAAAAACGAAUGAUACGAGCUCACCAAAAAAGGUUCGCCCCAGAGAAUUCCAUAAGGGGGACCUGAUAUCAAAGAAGAUCCUUCCCAUACAUAAGGACUUCAGAAGAAAGUAGAUGUCAAACUGGAAAGGACCUUAUGUGGAAGGUCUUACCUAAAAAAGCGUCGAUAUUGACCAAGAUGGAUGGCAAGAACCUGCAUAAUCUUGAGAAUUCUUAUUCAAGAAAUAAAUACUUCACUUGAAAAAAAAAUGAAAAGAAAAAAGAAAAGAAAAGAAGAACAAAAAAGAAAAAGGAGAGGCCAAGGUGAAAACCCAUAAAGGGCACCUUGAGACUAAAGGGGUUUUGAAUUGAAAACCCAGGAAUGGGCAAUUCAAAAUUUUUUUUGAUCAAAGGUGGGGCAUGUGGUAGUCUUGUCCUCUCCAAAUUAACAAGAAUAGGGGAUGCUACAUCCCGGGGCAUCAACAAAGUCUUCUAGAACUUCUAGACACAUAUCAAGUUCAAAAAGGUCCUUAAGAAGUUUGGGCAGAGAAGUUCAUGCUACGAUAUCUGGGGCACCUAUUUCCAUUUUAUUCAUUUUUUGUAUUUUUGACAAAAUACGCCAUUUUGAUUAAUUUAUUCUCAUUUUGUAUUCUAGCAAAAUUUGCUAUCUUGAUUAAUUCAUUCAUUUCGGGCUUUGCUCUCAACGAAACUUCAUCUUGUCCAUUUUGAUAAUCUUUUUCAAGCAUUUUUCAUUGAAGUAACGAUUAAUGGACUGACAAUAUUCAAGCAGAUGAAAUUCUGCAUGUUACUCUGAAAGCUUCUAAAUAGUACGAGGACCUGAAACUGGGCUAUUGUUUAGAACUAACCAACUUAAAGGUUAGAAGCAUUGGAGAAAGAAUAGUCUAAAUUACGACUAUUUCUUUGGUUUUUCUGUCAAAGAUACCUGCUGAACAAGAAGGCAUCAGUGAUAGAACCUUGAUGGGCAGUGAGUAAUGACAACCUAAACAUUAAAAGGGGACCAUUCUCAUGACAUUCUACAAACAUCAUACAUAAACAUCUAGUUAAGAGCAUUUGAUUCAUUUUAAUCAUGACAUCUUAAACAUUAGGCAUAAAUAUGUCCAUAAAAUGGAUUUGCAGGUCAUGUUCCCCAGAGAACAGAUCAAUGAAGUUACCCAUACCCCUGAAGUUGCAGUGGGAUGGAUUGAAGUCAUCAUAUCAAGUCUUAUCUCCCUAAAAUUGUAGCGGAGCAGACUAAAGAUAGCAGAUCUUGUCUUCCUGUACUGGCAGCAAAGCAUAUCGAAUACACCAGUCUGCCUUCCUGUACUGACAGCAGAGCAGACUGAAGAUAACAGAUUUUGCCUUCCUGUAGUGACAAUGAAGUAAAUCGAAGACACCAGCCUUGCCUUCCUGUACUGACAGCGGAGUAGACUGAAGAUAGCAGAUCUUGCCUUCUUGUACUGACAACGAAGCAGAUCGAAGACACCAGCCUUACCUUCCUAUACUGACAGUGAAGCAGAUCAAAGACACCAGCUUUGCCUUCCUAUACUGACAGUGGAGCAAAUUGAAGAUAGCAGAUCUUGCCUUCCUGUACUGACAGCGAAGCAGAUCGAAGACACCAGCCUUACCUUCCUGUACUGAUAGCGGAACAGACUGAAGAUAGCAGAUCUUCCCUUCUUGUACUGACAGCGAAGCAGAUCGAAGACACCAACCUUGACUUCAUGUACUGACAGCGGAGCAGACUGAAGAUAGUAAAUUUUACCUUCCUGUACUGACAGUGAGUAGAUCGAAGGCACUAGCCUUGCUUUCCUGUACUGACAGCGGAACAGAUUGAAGAUAGUAGAUCUUGCCUUCUUGUACUGACAGCGAAGCAAAUCGAAGACACCAGCCUUACCUUCCUGUACUAACAGUGGAGCAGACUGAAGAUAGUAGAUCUUGUCUUCCUGUACUGACAGCGAAGCAGAUCGAAGACACCAGCCUUGCCUUCCUGUACUGACAGCGGAGCAGGCUGAAGAUAGCAGAUCUUGCCUUUCUAUACUGACAGUGAAGCAGAUAGAAGACACUAGCCUUGCCUUCCUGUACUGACAGCGAAGUAGACUAAAGAUAGCAGAUCUUGUCUUCCUGUACUGGCAGUGAAGCAGAUCGGAAGCACCAGCUUUAUCUCCCUAAGCAGCAGUGGAGUAGGUUGAAGAUUGUAGAUCUUAUCUCCCUAAGUAGUAGUGGAAUAGAUCGAAGACGGUGAAUUUUAUCUUCCCAAUGUAGUAGGGAAGCAGAUUUAUGCCACUAGCCUUAUCUCCCUGAGUAGCAGUGGAGUAGGUCGAAGAUUGUAGAUCUUGUCUUCCUAUGCUGGCAGUAAAGCAGAUCGAAAGCACCAGUCUUAUCUCCCUAAGCAGCAGUGGAAUAGGUUGAGGAUUGCAAAUCCUGUCUCCCUAAGUAGGAGUGGAGCAGGUUGAAGAUACCAGUCUUAUCUCCCUGAAGUUGCAGUGGAGCAGACUGAAGAUAGCAAAUCUUAUUUCCCUGAAGUUGCAGUAGAACAGAUUGAAGCUAAAUAACAGAUCUUAUCUCCCUGAAGUUGCAGUGCAGUGGAUUAAAACAAUGAAUCCUAUACCUCUGAAGUUGCAGUAGGUCGGAUUAAAUCUACCAUAACAAAUCUUAUCUCCCUAAAGUUGUAGUGGAACAGACUGUGGAUAGCGGAUCUUAUCAUAUCAAACCUUAUCUACUUGAAGUUGUAGUGGAACAGGUUAAAGAUACCAAUCUUAUCUCCCUGAAGUUGCAGUGGAGCAGAUUGAAGCUACUAAUCCUAUCUCCCUGAAGUUGCAGUAGAGCGGAUUAAAACGAUGAAUCCUAUACCUCUGAAGUUGCAGUAGGUCGGAUAAAAUUUACCAUAACAAGUCUUAUCUCCUUGCAGUUGCAGUGGAGCAGACUAAAACCACAAAUCUCAUCCCCCUGAAGUUGCUGCGAGUCGAUUGAAGCCACUAGUCGUAUCUGAAGUUGCAAUUGAAUGGAUCGAAGCAACAAGACACAGUGGACUGGAAGGAGGCUACUUGAAGAAGACAAGCACCCAAAGAAGUCAAGACUAGGCAAGGCCGGGCAGAAUUAGCUCUUUUAAAGUCUUUGCUCCAUUCUCGUUACACGACAAUGAGCAAAGAGGGGUAGCUGUAAUAGCCUAAUUUUUCCCGGGCCCAAAAUAAAACCAAAAUAAUAGUCUAGACAGUCUAUUUACAAGGAAAAUGACCCAUUACACAUCAAGCCCAAAUUAAACCCAAACAGCCCAAAACUAAACAAGCCCACAAACUUAAAAAUUUUCAGCAAAAAAACCCUAGCCACAUGCAGCCCCCGCCCUCCAACCUACGCGUGGCCUCCUCGCACACCUGCGCCACUCGCCAAUCGCCAGUCUCACGCGUUUGACACUUUUCAGUCCCUGUAAAACAGCAAACAACACGCAACAAUAGAGAAGAAGCCAAACAGAAGUAGACAAAAGAAACAAACAAAACCAUAGAAAUAGAGAGUUGUUCAAAUCGGCUAUAAAAGCCUAAAUCUAAUGCUUGUAGCUCUCUCUUUUUUUUUUCGAAGAUUGAAAAAUAAUAAAAUAAAAAAAUUUAAGGUGACUACUGUUUUUAUUUUUAAUUUCAAUCUGUUAUUUUGUUUUUUUUAUUUUACUUUAUUUUUUAUCUACGAAAAUAAAAAAAUGAAAAGAGAAACGUACCUGAUUCACCCCGUGGCUCCGUCGACGGAAGUCCCUUCGCCGUCGUCGGAAUCCGGCUGAAAAAGGGAAGGUUUUUAUUUUUCUUUGCUUUUUUUGGAUUUUUCAUCUCAAGAAAUGGACUAAGGGAGGAGAAAUGGCCAAAAUGGCCUUUUUCCGAUGAACUUCGGCAACCGCAUGCGGCGGUCGAUGGUGCCGACGCUCGGUGGCUGCGGUGGCCCCAUGGCUGGUCGUUGGGGGCGCUUGUUUUUUGAGAGACAGAGAGUUGAGGGAAAAGGAGGUUUUUUCUAAAAUUUAAAAAAAAAAAGAAACAAAAUGAAAAAUUAAAAAAAUUGGCCUUUAUAAAUUCUGUUAAACGAUGCUGUUUUGUGGAGUAAGUUCAGAGGCCAAAACGACGCCGUUUUGGACCUCUGACCCACGACCCGACCCGCUACAUGGCUAGGAUCUGCGUGUUUUGCUUGGAGGGGCUAAUUGCAUGUUCAGCCCCUCCGCUUUUGUAGCAUAGCGCAAUCUGAUCAUUUUUAAUUCUUUUUUUAUUUAGGUUGCGAUCUUUGUUGGUAUUUCAAAUUGGUCCUUGGACCAUGUGCAGACCCUCCGUUAAAGCGCUGCAUUUUAGGACAGGGGAAUAUUUCCCAGAUGGUCCCCCAUGCUUUGAGAGCGUCUUAUUUCAGUCCCCUGUAACCUGUUUGUAAAUUUGCAAUUAAAGCCCCGAAUUUUAAUUCCAUUUCAACCUCGUCCUCGGUCCAUUUAGUUUAUUUAUUUUUAAAUAAUACUCUUUUAUCAUGAUUUAUUUUAAAAUGGUUAUAUUUAUUAUUUAUUUGAAACUAUUUGACAUUAAGUUUAUUUAAAUUUUAUUUGUAUAUUAUUUAUUGUAAGCUCAUGUUGUGUAUCUUCUAAAUUUUUUGUACGUAUAUAUUUUAAAAUUAUCUCGCAUGUUUUUUUAUGUAUUAUUUAUUUUUUAAUUAUAUUAAUUGUUAUUUAUUUGUAGUUUUUUUUUAUUUCUGUUUAUUUGGAUCGUUUAUCAUUUGUUUUGAAGUGUCUUUAAAUCAUUCAUUUUGAGUUAUUGUUUUCUUAAUUGAUUUAUGUAUUGAUUCGUUUUGUUCGUUUUGGUUAUUGAUAUUUGUAUUCGAUGUAUGGUGUAAUUAUUGUCAUUAUGUGUAUUAAUUCUUUUAUUCGUAUUUUCGUGCUAUGAUAAUUCAUUCGUGUACCCUGUUGUUCGAAAAAUUGUUUCUCCAUGUUGUAAAUUGUCAUUCCAUCAACGUAACCCCUUCUUCACACGCUAUUUCAAACGUUACCUUUAUUUUUACCCAAACAUACAAAAAUAAAAAUUUCAAAAUAAGACAAUAUUUUGUGUAUUGGCGAUUCGAGAAAAUUGUAUCCUAACUUACUGGGUUUCGAUUUCUCGUUUAACCUAAAUGGCAAAAUAUCCUUUUAAAUUAUGACUUUUGAAUAAGCAAAAUUUCGUGUUUAGAUUCGAGAAGGUUGUACCCUAACUUACGGGGUUUCGAUUUUCGCGAUAAAUCUAAAUACACGAAUCUUUUCAAACAUAAGUUUUUUUUAUAAUCUCGGGAAUUAAUAAAAGAUCGUGUUCUAACUUAUAGAGUAUGGUCUUUUCUAAAAUCGAGAGAAUCGAAUGUAUUUCAAAUAAGUAAAUUUUUCGGCACGUAUUCUCGUAUCGGGAAUUCGAUACGUUGUGUCCUAACGCAUUGGAUGUGACAUGUUAUUUUCUCGAUAUGAGAAUUUUUUUUAAAAAUAAUAAAAGUAAUAUUUUGCAUUUGGAAAUUCGAGAAAGUGUGCCCUAACGUGCUGGGUUUCGAUUUCUCGUUUGACCAAAUAGCCAAAUAUCCUCUUAAAAUUUCAAAGUAUGGGUUUUGGAAACCAUAAGGUGAUCUUGGUUUCGAUGGUUUAAAGUAUCGUGUCCUAACGUGCUGGAUGUGAUAUUCCUUCGGAACAAGAGAAUCUUAAAUUUCAAUCCGUGUUAUUCGAGUUUUUUUUAAGGAUUGUAUUUUUAGAACUCUUCAAAGUUUUCAAUCAUCGACACUAAGACACUAAUUAAUCAACUAGGUACCAAUUUUUGGGCGUUACGAGGGUGCUAAUCCUUCCUCGUACAUAACCGAUUCCCGAACCUGUUUUUCUGAAUUUUACAGACCCAAAGCGUUGUUUUAAUAAAUCUAAACCGUUUAUUAAAAACAACCAUUUUUCGAGGUGACCCGAUCACACCUCAUCAAAAAAAAAAUUGGUGGCGACUCCCAUGUUCAUUUUUGUUUUCAAAAUCCAAGUCGACCCUUUUUAUCAAAAAAAUGGUGUCAACCGACUCAUUUCCUGUGAUUAUCUUGGCUUUUUCUUAAAAGGGAAAAAGAAAAUAAUUCUGGUAUUGAUAAGAAAUUUAUCUUCUUCUUCCUUCAUUGGGAAUGAGAUGAGCCUUUUCGAUUUGCUAAACUCCAUUAAAAAUAUAAACUUAAGCAGGAAAAAGAAUGAGAAGGCAAAUAUAUAUGUUGUCUUCAACUCCAUUAAAAACAUGCAAAUAUAUUCGAACAUCUCCACAGCUUCAACAAAAACCUUACAUUUACAUGGGACAUAACUGCUUUGUUCCAACCCCCAAAUCAUUUUUCCAUCUUUCACAACACUUAUACCUGCUCUCAAUUGGCCGGUAACGUAUUGUUCAAAUUCAUUUUUUUCCUUUUAAGUUUGUAUCUUACAUGCAUCUAUAUGAUGAUAUAACAACAAUCCUACGUAUAUAUACAAAUCAGCUGGCCAAGUGUCAUUGUAUGUAUCUUGAUGUUUUACCGGCUUUUAAUUUAUUAAACUAAUCUCUUACCAGUCCAAUAAAUUUCCAACCAUAUAAGACACAUACCAGAUGGAUUGAACAAACAACUAACGAUUCUUUGAAUCAAUCUAACCCCAAGUAUCCCGAUUCUAUCGGUUCGGUCCAACUUUUUGCUGCCAAUCAUAGAUAAUGACGCAUCCUGCAAUCAAGACAUGCCGAUGGUCCCGAGGGGAACAACGCCAAGCAAGCAUUGAAUCAAAUAACCCUGGUAUGAAAUCGCAAAGAAAUUUGUGCACUUGCUUAUUUAUUCCAACUUUUAAUCAAUUCGACACUGACUCAAUCAUCAUCACCCUUCAUUUUCUACAGUUUUUUUGCUGCAAAACAAGUGACAAUCCUUGUUGCCAUCUCAUGUGAAACAGCAGACAUGUUUCAAAAACACCAUAAUACACUUCAGAAUUCAACGGUUUUGUUGUCAAACACAGUUUCUGAAAAUGUGUAGCGUCACAUACAGGUCCAUAUUGGAACGCAAAAAUUGAUGAAUGACACCUGAGGCUUUUCUAGAUACAAACCCUUCAUGUCUCCAUAUCUGAGGACUGAAACUGGUCGAUUGCAAGCUUGACUCUUCGGAACUUUUUGACAGCUUUGCAUUAAGAUUUAAGAUGAAGUGUCAACAGGUGUGUCAGAUUCCGCACCCCAUUCAGUCCAAGAUCCAUCAUAUACCGGAACAUCAGUCUUCCCAAGUCGAUGGAGGCCCUGGAAAGCAUUAGCAUAAAAUAACUGUUUUAGUAUACUAUUCUAUCUUUUUAACUUUUCCAAGCAGUAAGUAAUCAAAUGCAUAGAACUUUGUUCCACACUAUAUUUUUUUCACCCUUCCAGAGAUUUACAGGAACGUGGAUAAAUGUCAAGCCUAAAGAUAGAGACAGAACAAUUAUAUUUGGUGAAGGAAAGUACCAAUGCCAGAAUACAAGCAGUUACACCAGUGCCACAAGAAGUUAAAACAGGGCGUUCCAAUGAGAUGCCUGCAGAAGAAUACAUUAUUAGGCGUCAUAAUUUUGCAAGGACAAUAAGAAAAUGUCAAAAUUAACAACAAACUGUUAUAUAAAGCAUGAAACAUAAGCCUCUUUAUAAGCUUAGAAGAAAGAUGAUUCCUAAAGAAACAAAACAUGAUCAUUAUUCAGUAUAUUAGUGGCAUCCUAAACACAAAAACCAUACUGAAGGAUUGAUUUAACUAUCAAGUAUGUCCAAGUUCCCCCCACCAAAUUAAAUGUGACAAGAACUUAAUGCCUAAUUUUCCUAUAAGAAAUCAGUGAAGGUACAUGGUCAAAUGAGCAGUUUUGUAUUGCACAAUCAAGGAAACUUGCAGCCUCCUACAAAUCAAGUAAAUUUUUACCUCAUGUGACUGAAAACCUCAAUAAAUACUCACCGUUAUCUAUCAGAUUGAUAAAUCCCUACUCCCCUAAACUAGUGUGCAUAUAAUAGAGUGAAUCUGAAGAUUUAACAAAGAUGAUGAUAGGUGAAGUGGUAUGGACUUCAUAUAUGAAAAGCAAAUAUCAGAUGGCUCACUACAUACCUGCUGAACUUGGAAAGAAUAAAAAGAAAAGGGUGAAAGGAACAAUGACAAAAAGGAAAAUAAAUAGUAAUCACCCUCUUCAUUAAAUUGUUUCUUGAGCUCGUCAGCAGGUAGAAGAGUCUGUGAAGCAUCUAACAUCUGCAAAGAAAUGAUAAAUUGAUGAAUUAAUAAUCUAUCAUAGAAAAAAUCCAGAAAUUACAUCAAACAUAAGGUGUUUUUUUGGUAAAGAAAACACACAACUCAAGAGAAUCGCAGUGUGUUUAACAGCAUAUCAAAAGCAGAUACAUCCUCUUGAAUAAAGAAUGAAUGCUAAUAGGUCAUACUCUGAUCACACUAUCUAAAUCUGCCACUCAACUUUGUUCUAUGCACCUGACAAUUUUGAAUUACCAAUCAACAAUUUCAUGCAGCACACAAAAGAAAGAGGUAUGUAGAGGCCCCCUUGCAUUAUCUACCAACCUUCUCUCUCAGACAAAUUAAAAAGGUCUAGAUUAGGAUUUAAGAAAUUUACAUAUGCUUCACUUGUUCAUAGCAAGCAAGUAAAAAAAUGAAAAAUUUUCUCUCUUACCUGUGGAAAAGGAAUACACUUGCUGCCAGGUACAUGGCCACUUCUAAUUCCUUUACGAGGUUCUGGUGCAGCACCAUCAAAUCUGUAUGAAACCCAAACAGGAAAACACAAAUUAAAGGAAAUAACAAUAACAAUAAUAAUGCACAAAGCAACCUGCUGUAACAAUAGAAUAAUAGGCUGCCAAGAAUCAGCACUUUAGCCCACAUAGAGAUUGCUUUACUCCAAAUUUGCAGCUAUUUUCUAUUCUCACUAAAUGCAUCAUAUUACUCAAGCAGCAAACGUUUUAGUCAAGUAAUCAUAGUAAAAAACAAUCAACCAAGUUCACUACAGUACCUGGGCUUGGAUCGGGCAUCUAUAUGUUGGUGAGUCUUUUCCUCAAUGUUUCUUCUAACCUGAAAAUGAAACACAAGAAAGUAUUACCUAACAUGUUCCAGUAAUGUAUCAAACAAUAGGGAGUUCGAAUUAACUGAUGAACAGACUAACAGCAAUGUCCAUAAAGAGAACCUAUUUUGCCGAUUUCAAUAAUGGACAAGGUAUAAGUCCCAACAGAGUACUUUCAAGUGUUUGCGUGAAUUGUCUCGUAUGCCGACUGUUAAUUUUAACCAGGUAUGCUCUAAUGUUUUCACAAUAUUGCUCAUGCAGAUAUGCUGGGUAAAACAAAGAGGGCAGCAUACAAGAUCACCAAAAAUAGACACACGACAUAUGCCACCUUUUACAUGUAAAGAAAAUAUUGUAGGUUGUUAUACAUUGCAUUCCAAGGAUUUUUUUUCUUCAGUGUAUUUCAAAAUGACACAAAGAUAUCAAGCCCAAGUAGAUAUAAGCAAUACACUAGACAUCUAAUUAAUACAGAUCAAUGAGUAUAAAGGAUUUACUGCUUUAUAUUUACUAUAAGUUUUGAAUCUAAUAAGACAUAAAACACACUGUUCCUCUAUGCCACCCAUAAAAUAAUUAUUUUUACAAUUCUUCAUUCAUAAAAUUCAGGUUGAAGCUUUCUCCAGGUUUUUUGUUUCCAUACCAUAAUAAAUUAUGGUGUGAUGUCCGUGAAUGUGAAUAAAUGUUCAGAUCAGUGAAUCAUAUCAUAAUAAUCAUGCUUCAUGGAUCUAGCAAUGUAACAACAAUAUAAAUCAGUUAUGAAGGUUCAUCGACUAAAAUUUCAAUCAUGGAUCAUAUCAUAAUAAUCAUGCAUCAUUGAUCAAAGGUCAGAAGAGUAUUAGUAUAAAUCAGGGUUGAAGGUUAAUCAACUAAAAUUCCAAUCAUUACCAGACAUCAUUUCAGUAGUUGAACAAAACUAAGAUAGCAAAACCAUAAUUUUAUAUGAAUUAUAUUAGUUUAGCAGUUCAACCUGAUCAAGUGUCCAGACAAGAUGCGGCUGAAAUUUUGUCUGAAAUGUGAGUGGUCCAGCCUGCAAAACAAAGAUGCAUGCACCAAAAACUAUUUUGAGUAUAAUAUUGUAAACAUGGGAGAGUAGAAUGUUGUGUAAUCUUAUUUAGAUAACAAUGUCCAACCCAGCAACUGAAGCCUUUCAUAGUAUUUCCGUGCAUGCUUCUUUCAGGAGGCAUCAUUUGAACUCAAUAACAAUAUUUCACAACUCUUAGACAAUACAUAAUAUGGCACAGGAAAUCUCCCCCCAUCCAAUCAAUAAUUCCAAGAAUUGAAAAUAAGGAGAUAUAGAGAAUCAAACAUCUAAUUCUAAAGAAUGCUUACAGUUUGUCCCUGAUAGACUUUCUCUAUUGCCUCACUAGCAGCACUGGCUUUCAAAAUAGCAUCACUAGAAGCACUAGAUUCAACAUCAUAACCUGAAGCACGCCACCUUGGGAGGCCUCCAUCUAACACCCAGACUCUGUCAUGCCCAAAGAUUCGGAACAUCCUUUCAAUUAUCAAAGGAAUAAUAUCUGUUAGAUUUAGAAUCAGGAUAAUUACGAUAAAAUAUUUCAGUAAAGGUUGAGAAGAGAUCUUAUUAUUAAACGUGCUACUCACCACCAGACACGUGCUGCACUAAAAAUUCCCUUCCCAUCAUAAACAACCAGCCCAUCUUUAUUAUGGAUGCCAAGAGCAGACACAGCAGCCGCAAAACCUUCCUCGGAUGGCAGCAUAUGUGGCAACUGAUAUAAGAGAUUUCAACCAGAGAUGUCAAAUAGGAGAAGCAAACUAGUGUAUAUGUUAUUGAAAGGCUCACUUAUCUCGUACGUCUCCAAUAUUCAUACAUCAUGUAACAAACUAACAUUAAAAUUUUAUUGAAUCGCAUUACUAAGAAUACUCAAGAAAUAUAUACAAAGUUAUAAAGUUGAUUCUGGAAUUGCCAAAGCAACUUGAUGGAGAACUCUGUUUAGGACUUUUAAUUUAUUAGGAUUGUUAGGAAUCAAGUUUCUUAUUGGAAUGUUUCAUUUUACAAGGGUUUUGGGUUUUUUUUUCUAAACACUAGGAUAAUUUAACAGCAAUUAGGGUUUUUGAUAUUGAAUAUUGAGUCUCUGUGAUCUUGAUAUUUUCCCUCAAUUGGUUCUGUCUUAUUUUCGUCCUAAGUUCUUUUAUUUCUUUCCCAUUUUCUCUGUUCCACCAGAAUUGUUCUUACUAUUUAAUUUACCUUAAACUUCAGAUUGUCCAUUCUCCUUAUUUUGCCUACAUCAUACCUUUUUAAUGGUGUAACUAAAUUGCCUAAUGCAGGCCAAACACCUAGAAAAAGAAAUUUUAUUCAAAUCUUCCUCCAACAAGCCACAACUUGACUGAAAAAUCAAGGUACCAUAAAAGAAACAAAACCUCCAUUUCUACUACCUAUCUCAAAGAACAAUAUAGACGGAUCAAAAAUUAGCAGUCAAAAGAAAAGAACAUCAUUGCUGCUAGUAAAUCCCAGAAGGAUAGUAGUGAGAUAUCAAGAGGAAAAGAAACGGUGAGGCAAAGGUUGUUAUGGAAUGGAGCAUCAUUUUCCUAUACCUCAAUGGUCUAGCAGCCAGAGAAUCCAAGAGAUCAAAAAGGGACACUAAUCAAUUAAUAAAAGAACCUCACCUUUGUAGUUCGAUCAGAUAUUCCAUCAACAUCGAAGAAAAGAGCACCAGGAAUGUGAGCAACCUGCUAUGGUGAAAGAAAUCAAACAGAAAUGCAUUUAAAAUUGAAAAUAUGGGAAUUAAAAGAAAGAGAGGAAGCUGAGUAGCAGAUCUCAGUUUAGAUUAGAUAAGAACUAGAAUUUCAAUAUUCACAACCAUUUAACUAUAUUGGCAGUUAACACCAAAAUAGAUUGUAGAAAAGACAAUAAUCAGCACCUGAUACUCUUGAAUUGGAUUCCUCUGCUCAUCUGGCAUGUACCAUGAUGCAUCCAAUACCUGAGAAAUAAUAAAAAUAUGAUUGACAAUAAACAAAGAAGCAUAAAGUAUUUUCCAGUUUUCAUAAUUAUUUCCAAAGACAGUGUACGCUAAUAAACUAUUCAUAGGUUCUAUGCAAAGUAAAAAUGCAUAACAAAAAAUAAAGAACGUUUUCACAAUGAUAACUUAUUCUCAGAAAAUUUGUUAGAUUCCAAAAGUUCUUUUUUCUUGGAGGGUGGGAGGGGGGAGUUUCUACAAGAAACUGUCGUAAAAUGAUCCCCCAUCUCAGAGGGGAACUAUGUUUUUGUUAAAACCAAAAUUUACCUAUUACUCUUUUUUCCUGCCCGAGAAAUACAUAUUUGAGGACAAAUAACGAAACCAAAAGAUGUCCAUGCAUGGAAACCUGGAUGAUGGAUUGUUAGCUUUUAGGAGUUGUUGUAGUCUUAAAUAAUUACUGUGAUUGGUAACUGAAGUUGGGAUUGAAAUUUGGCAGUUAUUUUAACCUGAACUUAGUUACAGUUUGAUAGAUUAUUCUUAUUAAGUUUAAGACACUGAUUUAUAGCUGAUUGUAACACUGAAACAGCGGCAGGAGAAGGAUAAUAAGGAGAUAACCCUAGGAUCAACAUCUAGAUUUCCCUAGGAGACACAAAAUUGCAAGAGCCAUACUACAUAAAUUUUAAUUUGAUAGUAAUCUCAUAACCUUAUAGAAAUUGAGAGGUGAUGCCCAUGAACAUGCUAAGUUAGUUCCGUGCAAAACCUUAACUAUAAAAUUAAUAAUAUUGCAUGUAUGCCUUUCUAUUCUCAGAGAAUAAAGCGGAGAAUACCAAAAGUGGCGAAUGCAUAUGAUGUCAUAUUGUCAUUCAUGACAACCACACUUGCAAACUAAAUAAGUUCAAAACAAUUUCAUAAAAAAACGAUGCUUAAAUUUUAAAAGGGUCACUGGUCCACAUAUAAAUAUAAGUACCUUCAAAUCAGGCUCCCUUAAAUUAGCAUGAAGCCAAUCAACAGAAACAACCGGAUCAUUGGUGGAAAGAGAUUGUGUCGAAAAAUUACUUCUUAUCUCAAUUGCUGCAGAAGCCAUUAAACGAGAAGGCUGACCAGAGGCCUUAUAUGUGGUAUGGUAAGACCCAGCCUGUACACAGAACUCUCUCUUCUGCAAGUAACAUAAAAGUACAGCGUAAGAACUGAGCUACGUGACCAUAAAAACUAUUACGAGAUGAAUCAGUGUGUUCGAAGUUAAUGUCUUCACCAGAGCCAGAGGUACUCAAUGACGGAGUAGUAUCAAAAUACCACAGAGCAACAUGCCCAUGUUAGUGAAUUAUUCAGUGUAGCCAAAUUUCAAGUCAAAAAGAAAAGUACCCAUCAGAGCAUUAGAUACUUUUAAUGCAUUAUUUCGGUUACAGAAAACAUAAACAUAACUAGAAAAUAAAAAUAAAAAUAAAAGACAAACACCCAGAAUAGAUAACAAUCUUAAUCUUCUGCAUAUGCAUUCCUUAAGUAGGAACAGUAAAAUAAAAAAUACAUUUUUACUAAAGAAAAGAUGAAAAUCUCCAAAGCAAUAGACAAAGCCCCAUACAAAACUUGGGUGAAGAUAUAAAAUUGAAAAAAAAAAUCAGAACUCAAACCCAUUAUACAAGUGAUAGAAUAAUCACAUGCAAGACAAAAGAAAAGGACUCACUUUUCAGAUUUCCAGAAAGCAAAACCCAUUAGAACAAUCAGAAAAAACCCAAAAUAAUAAUUUUGAAAAGAAAGAGAGAGGUUGUCACUUACAUUGAAAAGAUUAGAGAAAAUCAAGGGGUUGUGAGGGAGAGACGAGGAGAAUCGAAUUAAGCGAUGACCCAAAAGAGUUCUAGAGAGAAGGGAUGAUGCCAUUUAUGCACAAAACAUAAAAAAAAAAAGAAAAAAGAAAAAAGGAAAAAAAAAAGAGGGCUUGAGGCUGUUGAGAGAGAUUAUAUAUUUUGUCGUCUGCUUCAACAAGGGGUGAACUGUGGACACUGAUAAGGACAAUGUGUUGGUUUAACUCUAUUUGGAUUUGGAAUUUAAAGGGGAAGCCAGUUCGGGUCGGGUUGUUUGCAUAUUCGAUCCUUCCGGUUCGUUUUGAGUUGGGUUCAAUCUGGGAUCAAGUCCCAUUUGCUUCGUAAUUGCGUACGAGCCAAUUAAUGGCUGAGCAAGAUUGGGCCUGCCAAAACAGCUUUUGGAAAAUCAAUUUGCAUAAUCACUUAUUUCGGUAUCCAAUUUUAUAAAUAAAUAAAAAACAUUUUCGCAGUCAUUUAAGGGUAAUUUACUAAUAAAAGCCGUUUUUUUUUAAUUUAUCGAAAUGGGCCGAUUUUUUGAUUAUUUAUCAGAAUGGGCCAUUUUUCGUGAAAUCGCGUUCACGUCAGCACGACGUCAGGGUACGUGUCAAGACAUCGCGUCCACGUCAGCGCGAUUUGUUUACGUGGAAACAAAUCGCGCCUACGAGGACGCGAUUUGCUGACGUGGAUGAACAGUUUAUGUUUUUAAGCUUGGAAAACUUUGAAAGGCCAUAACUUUUGGCUCGGUUGUCCGAUUGAGACAAUUUUUUUUUGAUUUCGAAUAACUUUUCGAGAUCUACGCAGUGACAAACCGCCGAAGGGGUUUGCUGCAGUUUUCAUCGAAAAAUAUCCUUUUUUGCCCCUAAAUUUUGAUUUUUUCAAUUUAAAAUUGAAUUUUGAAACAUUCAAAUCAUUAUUUUCCUUAUUUAUUUGAAGUAAACACCGGAUCUUUUUUUACAGAAUUGUCUUAUAUCAUCCUGUUAUAGGUAUAAGUCAGCUCAUUCUACUUUUGAGAAGUUCCCUAAAAUUUUCCAUUUUAUUCAAUUUAGUCCCUAAAACGUAAAUAGUCAUAUUUUCAAAUCUAAGCUUCGUUUUUCAAUUCAAAUUCAAUUUCAUCCUUCCAUAACAUUCAAAUAUUCUUAAAUACAAAAAUUUCAUGCUAAUUUUGAAAUAAUUACACUUUAGUCCCUAUACUCGUAACUAACAAAUUAUACUUUAGAAAUUAGUCCCUAUUCAUAUCUAAGAAGUUUUUUAGCGCGUAGAUCUCAAAAAUUUAUUCGAAAUAAAAAAAAUCGUCUCAAUCGGACAACCGAGCCAAAAGUUAUGGCCUUUCAAAAUUUUUCAAGCUAAAAAACAUAAACUGUUCAUGCCACGUCAGCAAAUCGCGUCCUCUAGGGCGUGAUUUCCGUCCACGUCAGCAAGUCACGCUGACGUGGACGUGAUUUCCUAGCGCGUACCCUGACAUCGCGCUGACGUGGACGCGAUUUCGCGGAAAAUGGACCAUUCCGGUAUAUAAUUAAAUAGUUGGCCCAUUUCCGUAAAUUUUGAAAAAAAAGGACUUUUAUUGGUAAAUUACCCGUCAUUUAACUUUUUUUUUAAUUGGAUUGUUUAUUAAAUUAUCUCAAAAUAGAUAGUAAAGUUAACAUUUAUUAAAUUCUUUAAUGUGAUAUACAUAUAGAUUAUUACAUGAGCAAAUAAUUAAUUUUUUAAUUUAAAAAAUUUAAAAUAUAUAAAAAUUAUUUAAAAGUAUAAAAUAUAUUGUUUUAAAUUUUUAAUUACUUGCUAAUGUAUACAUUAACAAAGUUAAUAAAUAUUAAUUUUUCCAUUCAUUUUGAGAUAAUUUGACAAUCAAAACAAGUUCAAUUGCUAAAAGAAAUAAAAAAAAUUAAAUAGGAAGCUAAAAUAACUUUUUUAAAAGUUUGAAGACCAAAAAAGCAAUUAUGCCAAAUUAUUUUUGGAAAAUGGAUUCACUUUUAGGGAAAUUGGUAUUUUCAUGGUUUAGAUGUUUCUACAAUUUUUUUUUGAUAAAUUUUUUUGAAAAGUAUUUUUUUAAAGUUUUCUUUAGUGAAAUAAACUCAAAAUAAAUAUAUUGGUUACAAAAUAUUAUAAUAUUACCUUUUGACUAUAUAAAUUGAUUUUAUGAUAAGAUAAUAUUUAUAAUAAUGACAAUGGAUAGUGACACAUAAUUUAAAUUAUAUAAAUUACAUAUAUAAAAAUGGACGGUGACACAUUUGACUUAGAAAAGAUAAAUUAAGUUAACCAUUAUUUAAACAAAUACUUAUAUUUAUAUAAUUAAAAUAUUAAUAUAAAUAUUUUUCAAUAAUUUAUUAAGAAUAUUGUUUAAAAUUUAAAUUAUUAUUUUAAAAUUUUAUCAUUAAAUUAAAAUAAAAUUUAAUAUUAAAUAAUUUAUUAAAAUAAUGAUUUAUAUUAAUAUUUUUAUUAUAUUAUAUAUAAAUAAUUAAAUAUUUAUGUUUAGUAAUAUUGAAUAUUAUAAUAUUUUAUAUUAAUAUUUUAAGAGUAAAGUACAGAAAUGGUCACUAAAACAUUGUCGGUGUUCUAUUUUGGUCUCUGAACUUUUAAAGCUUUUUCCAUUUUGGUCACUAAACUCUAUGAAAUCAAAUAUUUUCAUCACAUAAUGUUAAAAGCCGUUUGAAUAUUAAUAUAAGUGUUGACGUGAGCUUUUUUUAUUGGUCUAAUAACAAAUUUAGCUCCCCUAAUGUUUACAUAUUCUAUCAAUUUGAUCAUAAAUAUAAAAUAUUCAACAAAUUUAGCCCUCAAUGUUUACAAUUUUUUUUCAUUUUAGUUAAAAUUCUAAAAAUUUAAUAAAUUUAGUCAUCAACAUUUACAAAAUGAUAAAUUCUUUUCUCUCUUUUAGAACAUUAACUACGUUGUUUGUCAAAACACCUAAAAAUAGAUGAAAACAUUCACAUAUGAUAAAUUUGCUGACAUGACAAUCCACAUGAUGCCAAUGCUAAAUCAAUUUGUUGAAGAAGACUAAUAUGUGUUUGAAAUUUCCGAUGUUUUGUUGAAUAAAGUGGUUUAAAUAAAAUUUUCAAACAAUUUUUUUUUGUUGAUUUUAAGUUUCAAUUUUCAUUCAUCAAUUUGAGGCUUCAUUUUUGUUUUUUUUUGUUUUUUUAUUCUUCAAAGAAGCUUUUUCGAGGUGAUGGGUAUGAUAAAAAAAACAAAGAAAAUGAUAUUAGUAGUUAAAAAAAUUAAAACUUCAAAAAAAAUAAUUGAGAAAUUAAAUUAAAAAAGUAUGUUCCAAACAAUUUUAGUGAAAUAUUAACUUAUGCAAAUACUUUAUAAUUUUAGUGAAAUAUUGUUUUAUUUUUUAAAAGAAUUUUUUAUAUAAAAUUUUAGGAUCAAAUUAAUAGAAUAUAAAAAUAUUAUAUGGCUAAAUUUGUUAUUGACCAAUAAAAAAAUUUCAUGUUAGCACUUCCGUCAAAUUUCAAACAGUUGUUAAUUGUCAGUAACAAAAAAUUUAUUUUAAAUAGUUUAGUGAUCAAAAUAAGAAAAAUAAAAAAUUUAGUGACCAAAAUAGUACGCUAACAAUACUUUAUUCAUCAUUUCUAUACUUUACCCUAAAAAUAAUCAAUAAAAACAUCAUUACUUUAAAUGAUGGAUAAUGGAGUAAUAAAGUUAUAAAUGAAAAUUUUGCAAUGGCUCAAACAUUAAGCUUAGAAGAAAGGUCAGCGCACAGUUUUAAUGUUUAGGUUGGAUAUUCAAAUUCUUGAAGAGACGCUUGUAAAGCUACAUCUACUCUACUCGAUGAACAUCCUUAUGUAAGCAUUUUCAUUGGGAUAUUUUGAGUCAAAUAGCAAGUAUAUUAAUUGUAAUGCUUCAAUAUAUAGGAGGUUAAAUGAAAUAAACAAUUAAGAAAUAAUUGGGUCUUGAUGGUUAACUGUUUAGUAUACUCCUAAGAGAUUUUAAGUUUAAACCACAUCUCUCUCAUUUCUUUUCUUUUUAACUUCAGCAACCAAGGAUAAAAACCACAUUAUAAUAAAUAUUAAAUGUGGUGGAAAUAAACCAAGAAAGGGCACCAACCCAAGUGGUUAAGCCUUUCAUCUACCCUUGUUCCUAGGUUCAAGUCAUGCUGAUAUCCUUCCCAUUUCCUCUCAUUGGGUAUUCAAUAACUUAAAUUAAAAUCCUAAGUUACUUUUCAAUAACUUUUUCCUAACUAUACAUUGAUUCUAACUACUUUUCAAACCUAAAUUAAAAUCCUCUUUUUUCUUCCCGUUAAAAUUCGUCCUCUUCUUUCAUUCUUUUCUUUUCAUAAAAUUUUUACAUUCUUUUGUUGGAAAUUGAUCUCUUGGAAACCCAAGUCAAGAUCAAUUCUCAUUUGAACUGGUUUCUUCAUUGAUCGUUAGAUCUAUCAAAAAAACCUUCAUAAUCCUAUUAAAAAUCAGUAAGUAUUCUUAUUUCUAAUUAUGUAGCACUUUAGAAUUUUGGAACAAAAUCAUUCUUGUCAAUUUUCCAAAAUCGGUUUCGAAUCUUUUAUGAGUUUUCCUGAAAAUCUUGAGAAUCUUGAAAACAAUAUCCAAUUCUCAUGUAAAUAUCAUCUAAAAGACUCGCUAUAGGUAUCCCAAAUUAGUUUUGGACAAGAGGAUCAUCGUUCGAUACCCGAAAGUCUGGUGUGUGUUCUUUUACAAGCAAAUCGAGGCAAAACCGUGUCUAGAACAGUUUGCUUCUCACACGGGCACGACCUUUCCACACGGGCUACCACACAAGCAUGUGGACCACACAACCAUAUCCCCCUACAAACCCUGGGAUAGUUUUCUUCUCACACGGGCACGACCCUUCCACACGGUCUGCUACACGGGCUUGUGGACCACACGGCCUACCACACAACUAUGUGCCUUGGAAACCCUAGUGUAGUUCAUAAACCACACGACACCAGUUUGUUACACAGCCAUGUAACCCUUCUAUAUGGCCUGAAGCAUCACACACGGCCAUGUGCCCCUAUUUUUUAAAUUUUAUAGUAUUACCCAGAGUUUUACGUUUUAUAUAUAUUAGUCAUUGAAUGGUCCCCCAACUAUUUUUAGUGUUUUGUUUUAUUCAAUUAAGCCUUUAAUAACAUGAAAAAUGCUAGAAUCCAUGAUAUAAUUGAUUGAAUCAUUAUUGUGAAUGCAUGAUAUGUGAUUGUUACAUAUCCACUAUCAUUAUAUUUCUGAUGUACUGAUAUUGUUAUGCAAAACCAUGACGAUACUGAUUGCAUGAGAUACAUACCACUGUUACCGUUAAAUCGAACAUAUGAUAAACAAAUUUGUUGCUACUGUUAUGAUAUAUUAUAAACAUAAUAAUUGCUACUACAUAUGCUUGAUAUAAGUAUGUUAAUGCUACCAUACUUAAUUGUUAUAGAAUGUUAUGUUGCAUUGCAUGGGGUGGGAUGUUUGAACGGAGGAAGUAGUCGAUAGUUUAUUUACUCGACCAAUGGUUUAUCCACAACGUAUUCUAGUCGGCAAUCAUCUACUCGACCUUGUGGUUUAAUCACAAUGUAUUCUACUCGAUAGUCAUUUGAUCGACCAGUGGUUUAUCCACAACGUAUUUUAGUCAGUAGUCAUCUACGCAACCAGUGGUUUGUGCAUAACGCAUUCUAGUCAGUAGUCAUCUGUUCGACUAGUGGUUUAUCCACAAAAUAUUAGCAGCUUUUACCUGCACAGAAGGAUGGUUCAUCCACCAAUAUAUUUGUAACACCCUAAACCCGGCCUAAACAUUAGGGCCGAAUCUGGUGAUGUCACAUUGUAACACCUCUUACCUGUAUUCAACGCUGGAAUAGGGUACAAGGCAUUACUAGAAUAAAUACACUUAUAGACAUAUUAAACCAAGUUAUAAAAUUUCAUCCAAAUUAAAAACUUUCAAAUUAUUAUCUUCGAGUCGCUAAUUAGAUUAUACGAGGCCCAAUACAUACCCAUUCAUAUGCUCAAUAUAUUUGUUAAAUCAAUCCAAUAUUGAAGAAUCCCCUUUAUGUCAGAAUCAAUAUUAAUAACAAUCAUAAAUCUUUUCAUGUUAAUUUCAUAUAUCACUUACCGAACUUCGAAUGUUAAUUUACAAAUAUGUAAUUCACUAACACAUUCUAGUAUACACAAUGUUUAAUUGAUGAAAUCAUUUAAUUGAGCUAAAUUUCAUGUUCAUUCCAAAUUUUCUUCUAAAUCCAUAAAUGCUUCCACUUACCAUUUACCUAAUCAAUUUCUCGAACCAAGCUAUCACACAACAAUAAUACAUCACCUGUGCUUCAUGAAUUCAAUAUUCGAUUCUUAUCACCAUCAAAUCCAUGUCAUUCGAAUACUUAAAGUUUAUUCAAGCAUAUAUUAUUACGUUUCAUAUACCAAGCAUAUGUCAAAAUUACGAAUACGCAAUCAAUUCAUUUGUCAUUUAUUUGACUAGAAAAUUAACCUCAAAAUUCAUAACGUUCCAUUACUUAAGAUAUGCCAUAAAACACUCCUUUAACAUAAACUAGCACCAUGACCGAAUUUUCAUUAUGCUAUUUAUUACCCUUUUUCCGAAUCACAUAGCAAAAUAUUACAAAUAUGUAUAUAUUUGAAUACUAUAAUUAUGCAUCAACUUACCAACAUGAGUUAAUCCAUGAGUCACUCAUGACAUCACUUCAUGCCAAAUAUACCACACACAUAUGCUAUGAAACUUUAUUUUCUCUCAUGAGGUUACCAUGACCAGUAAUGCACCAAUAUAAACAUCACUCUUAUUUCAACGUUUAUCGAUUAUAAUCAGGCAUAUAAAAAAUUAUGCACAAUUCAUUCAUAUACCUUAUUAUCCUCUUCCUCCUCUCCAUCCCACAUCCUUUAUGUAUAUAACAUGCUCAAAUAGCAUUAUACAUAAUUUCACUAUUCACUUAUAUUUAAAUUCAAAGCUGUCUAUUUGAGUCAGAGUCACUAAAUCAUUUUUAUCUGGAUCUACAGAGCUCCAAAUUAAGAUCCAUUAAUUUUACCAAAAACUAUACUUACAUAUAUUCUUACCAUAAAAUUUCCAUAAUUUUUUAUUUAGCCAAAUAGUACAGUUUAUUCUUUAAAGUUUCCCUUGUUUCGCUGUGUGACAGUUCUGACCACUCUUCACUAAAAAUAAAUUACCUAAUUGUACAAAAUUUGGAUGAUGUUUCCAUUUAUUUUUUUUGAAAAUAGACUCAUUAAUGAUUCUAAUAAUAUAAAUUAUAACUCAUAAUUAUUUUUUUACAAUUUUUAACAAUUUUCCAAAUUCAGAAUAGAGAAUUCCGAACUCAUUCUGACUCUAUCUAACUAAACUUCAAAUAUCCCAAAAUAUAUAACUCUUUUGCUUGCUCUAUUUCUUUUAUGUGAAAAUAGACUCAUUCAGAUUCAAUUUAAUAUAUUAUUCAACCUCUAAUUCAAUUUCCACCAUUUUUGGUGAUUUUUCAAAGUCACACAACUGUUGCUGCCUAAACUGUUUUGUUGCUAAAUAUACUAUUUCAUAAUUUCACUUUUUCACUUUCAAUCACAAUUCAAUUCAAAUUUCACUUUUCCAUUUCUAAGUCGAUAUUCAAUUCAAUUCCACAUCUAUAUUCAUUAUUCAAUUACAUUUAGUCAAUUUCCCGAUGAACACUUCGAAAUAAUAACAGAUACUCGGUAGAUUCAGCACAUAGCAACCACCUUAUUAAUUAAUGAUGUUCGGUUCACAUAGUAGCCUGUACAUAGUACUACACAUGUGACCAUUACCAUCCGAUACACGUAGUAGCCUUCACAUAGUACUACACAAGUGAUCGAAACUAUCCGGUACGCAUAGUAGCCUGCACAUGUACUACACAUGCGACCUAUCAUUCCGGUACACGUAGUAGCCUGCACAUAGUACUACACACGUGACCAUCACUUCCACUUUUACAUAGUGGCCUACACAUAGUCCGUGUCACACAUGUGAUCAUUUCUGUCACUUCAUUUGUAUCCCUUUUUAUUCUAAAGGCUCAUUCGGGAAUUUUUCACUUUUUCUCACUUUUCUUUUUAUCGAUCAAUUUUAAUUUCUCGUCUUUAUUGAUUUAUAACAAUACAUUUAACUUAUUUAACACUCAAAUUCAUCAAAACAGUCCUUGACUCGAACUUUGGCAAAAUUAUGAUUUUGCCCCUAAACUUUUGCAUAUUUACACUUUUGCCCCAAAGCUCAGAAAUUAAACUUCAUCUCUUAUUCUUAUGUUUUAUGACAUACUGAACAUUUUUCCCUUCUAUGGAAACAUCAAAUUCUCACUCUAACACUUCUUAUGAACAUUAGGUAUUUUUAUCGAUUAUGUCGUUUUACUCAUUUUCACUUAAAAUUGCUUAACAAAAGUUGUUUAACAUAAUUUAUAGCUUUAUAUCCUACCAUAAAACAUCAAAAUAAACACAUUUCACCUAUGGGUAUUUUUCCAAAUAUAAACCCUAGGUUAAAUUAUUGCUAGAAUAAGCUAAAUCAAGUUAUCGGGAUUCUAAAAACGUAAAGAACAUUAAAAAUGGGGCUUGGAAUCACUUACUAUGGAGUUUGGAAGCUUGAAAACCCUAACUAUGGCUUCUCCCCUUGUAAAAUUUGGCCAUGGGGUUGAAGAUGAUGAAAUUUUGGCCUAUUUUGUCUUUUUAAUUCAUUUUAAUUACCAAAUUACCAAAAUGCCCUUAACUUAAAAAUAUCCUAUUUCAUUUAUCUCUUAUCCAUUUUUGUCCAACAAGUUAAAAAAUGGUCUAAUUAAAAUUUAAGGACCUCCAAUUUAAAAUUUCAUAACAAUUGGACACUUCUAACAUGUAGAACUCAACCUUUGCACUUUUUUACAAUUUAGACCAUAAAAAUAUAAUAAAAAUAAAUUUUUCCUCAUCGAAUUUGUGAUCUCAAAACUACUAUUCCGACUAGGCCUAAAAUCAGACAGUUACAAUAUUUAUCAUUAGUAGUACAUUUGCAAUGAUUAGUGUUUUAUUCAUAACAUGGUGUGAACGUAGAGGAGUUCUGAGGAACUCCUAACUGUGGUGUGUAGCAGUAGGGUAGAACCUUUCUACUAUUAAACCGAAUUUGCAUUGCAUUCAUAAGCAAUUACAUAGCUAAGAACACUGAAAUAUUAUGUUGAUUAGUUGUUCUGAAUUAUUGAUAUUUUUUGUUUCUAUUGAUUGUGAUUUCCUCUAUGAGUUGAUAUUCUGCAUGACUUGUCUAAUGUUUACACUAGUUCCCUUGUAACGAAACUCAGACUGUAACAGUCUGAAUUUUUAGUGGUAAUGGAAACGGUGAUUUAAAGUCACAAAUUUCGAUGAGUAAGCUCGUAAAUUUUAUUAUUUAGUAUUUACGAGUUAAAUGUGAUUUUAGAAAGAUUUGUGAAAUAGUGAUUUGAGUUUAGAAUGAAUUAUUAGGUUAAUUGGUUUUAAAAAACGAGGUAUCGAGACCUCAAUUUUAUAAAUCAAGCUAUCAAUAUUUUUAUAAAUAUCUACGGAGUGUCAUUAAGGUAGUAUUAAAUUUUCGUUAGAAAAUUUUAUCGUUUCGAUAGUUAAUUAACUAAAAAGGACUAAAUUGAAAAAGGUACAAAACUUGCUAAUUAAAUAAAUAGUGAUUAAAUGACUUAAUUAAUGAACAAAGGAGGACUUAAGAAGUAAUUAUACCUAAAAUAAAGGCAUGAGGUGGCAUAAGCAGAAAAGAAACAAAAAUCAUGCGAUAAAAGGGAAAAAUUGUAAAUUUUGUGAAAUUAACUUAAAUAAAUUGAAUUCUAAACUUUUCUAGGCUAUUCUUCUUCUAAUUUUCAGUCCAAAAAUGCCAUUGAAUGUCCUCUAAGCUAUUUUUUCAUAUUUUUGCAUCAUGUGAGUUUAAUUCUUGCUCUUUUCUUAUAAUUUUUGUGUUUUUAAGACUUUUACAAUUAGGUCCAACUAUCUAAUUCAUUAGUUUUUUAUUCUGUGGGUAAUUUUGAAAGUUACCAUUGAUGACUGCUAGAUAUUUAUGAUGAAUUAAAAUGGAUUUGAAGUUUUAGUUUUGUUAUAUGAUGAUUUUAUCAAGUAAUUUCAAUAGAAAUUGAUUUUAGGACCAAAUUGUGAAAAAGAUUAAAUCUUAGGGUUUGGUAUUAAAGUAUAUUUAUUAAAGGCUAUGUAGUAGUUUAUAAUAUUUAUAGAAAGUGUUAAUUGAGAAAAAUUAGCUCAUUUGAUGAGUUAAUUGGUAAGGUAAGGGUAAUUGUGUAAUUUUGAAAUUUGAAGGGUAUAAAUUGUGAAUUUGACUGAAAUUGAAAUAUAUGCUAAUGAAUGAAAAAAUUUACAUUCUAGAUCAAGAGCUUGUAGAUCAAUGAGAAAAAUAGAAAUUAGCCGAGUAUUCUCUGAACUAUUACUAAUUUUACAAUCCAACCCAGGUAAGUUCAUAUGGUUAAAAUUUCAUGAUUAUAUUGUAUUUGAUAGGGAAAAAUGUAUGAUUUAUUUAUAAUUUAAAUUAUUAUAUUAUAUUAAGUUCGGUAAGAUCAAUGUUUAACCUAUUGAACUUACUAAGCUUCAUUAAGCUUACUCGUGUUGUUUAAUGUUCUUGUAGAUUAAUGUGUAGUCGGAAGAUCGGAUCAAUACAUCAAGCUACACUAUCCAGUUUAUUUCGAUAGUUUUUGCAAUGUAAAUUUGGUUUAUAUGGCAUGUAUAGGGUUGGUUUGGUAAUGAAAUAGUUUGAAUUGUGGUUGUGAAUAUUAAAUGUUUGUAUGCAUGUAAUUAGUAGUAAAAUUUGAUAAAUCAAUGAAAUGAGUUAAAUAGGUAGGUAUAAGUAAAUGAAAUAUUUGCGAUGUAUGUCAUAUUGAGAACAUGUUUUAGCUUGUAAUGAUUGCUUGGUUAGGAUAUAUUGGUGUAUGUGAAUGUUGAGUACAUGUUAAUGUCAAAAUGGGUGAGAAAAGUGGCCUUAAAAUGACCUAUUUUCGUUCACACGGGCAGAGACAUGUGCAUGUGUCCCCUGUUUCUAAAUUUUUUUUUGAAAUUUUGGAAAAAUUUCCUAAGUACCUGGUUUAGACCCGAUUCAUUUCUAAGGUGCAUAUUGGGCCUCGAAGGUCAUUCUAAGGGACAAUAUGAGUGUUAUAUAAUUGAUUCUUAAUAUGUCUAACAAAAGUUAGGAAAUGUUUGUAUUUAAUUCGUAAAGUUUGGUAAUGCUCCGUAACCCUAUUUUGGUAAUAGAUAAGGGUUAGGGGUGUUAUAUUUAUUGGUAUCAGAGCUUCGGUUUAGUUGAUUCUUGGAAUGAUAGUAAUGUGUAAAGUGUUUAGAAAUACAUGCCAUAUAAAUCUGUGAUAGUAUGAUGUGUAUGAUCCGAUCUAACUUUUGUUUUUCUUAUAGAUUGUAAAGAUGUUAGAUAGAUCUAAACAUGUUGAACAUGAUGAGGUAAAUAGUAGAGUGCAGACAUUUGAGCAUGGAACAAGUAGUAACGUCUCAAUUCCUCCGGCUCAAGAAAUUAAAAAUAUGUUCUUUGGGUUUAUGAAUCAAUGGUUUAAUGAAUUUAUAUAAGAAAGAAAUCAAGCUCAACAACCUCCUCCCCCUAUUACAUCAUCCGAAGUGCCUCCGGUAGCACUUCCACCUCCUCCGGUGA
rnacentral:lncRNA from 1 species